rnacentral:lncRNA from 1 species
GCAAAAUUGAAGUUUAGUACAGAGUUUUAAGGUGUGGAUAAUAAGAUUAUGAGCUUUAUAGAAAUGUUGGUGUAUCUAUUAAGUACUGGCUCCUACAUGCCAUGAACCUAUCAAGCAUAUGACCAUAUGGAUUCUAUUACAACUAAAUCACCCCAUAUCAAGCAUGGUCACAUUCAUUAUAUCAUGUCUAUAUCCUACCCACAUUAAGCAUGAAUAUUUUCAUGCUUAUGUCCCUCUUUGGUUUCUGGUUGAUUGCUAAUGCAAAAUGAGCCAGAUUGUGACGCUACACCAAUUUAGCACCAGCUUGAAUAUGAGUCUACACCAGUUUAGAUCCAGCCUGCUGGUGAAUCUCUACUUGCUUAUGCCACAUAUGAACAACCCUGCCUUGGGAACAUUACAGAACUAUUCUGCAUGCUGUCAUGUAGGAUAAUGGUACGAACCUGGUAUGCACUUAUCAGUGGAGAGCAUAGCAUUUAAUUUCAUCUUUCAGGAUUGAGAGAUUUUGAAGUAUAAUAGUCAUGAUGGUACCGAUCUUGUCUUGAAAUUCAUGCUCUGUAAAUGGGAAAACUUACACUUUUAAAAUUUUGGCAGGCAGAAAAGGCAGAUUGAGGCUCACAGCCAAGGUGGAACACCCCAAGAGCAUAGUUCUUCCUGUAGGCCUGAAAUGGCCCCAUCCUAUUCCAGUACCCGAGAGUGGCUGUGGUCCUUAUAGCCACAAUGAAGCUUGAUGGGGUACGCUCCUUUGAAAGAACCGCUGUUCUCCUUCUCAGAUCUGGAACCAGACACCCACAGGAGGGACCAUUUGCAGUUGUCAUUAACCGGGCUCUUCACAAAAAGAUCAAGCACGUGAAGCCCAUUAAUCUGGAGCUGGCAACCACUUAUGCUGAAUGUUCCUUGCAUUUUGGUGGUCCUCUAGAGGCAAGCAUGUUUUUACUUAAAACAGGGGUUUUGACUUGUGAUCCAAGUAUUUAUCCACGUGCAUUGCAUGUACAAUAUUGUAAUUAUAUUACGACUUCAAGGUUAUUUUCUCUUUUGAUGAGGUGUACGAUUGAUUAUUUAGCUGAUAUUUAAGAUUCAGAAGUGGACUGUUGAUGUGGUGAUAACUAGGUUUGUUGCCAGUCAUUAAAGACACUUGCUUAGGAUACUCAACACAGUCUUGAUUUAUGUAUGUACUAAACAGGGGUUCUGCCUGAUGGCGAAAAGCCUCUAUAUCAUCACAUUUCUGCUGGAGCUAACGUAAGCAAUGAUUCUUAUGAAGCAUUGAAAAUAUAAAUAGUUGAAAACUCCUACCAGGGUGAUUUAAUGGAUUUAAUAUCUUAGUUCACUCAUGAAAGUCUAAUUUAAUUUUAGUAAGACAGUGCAUAUUGAUACACAUGAAAGAUUUGCACAUGCAAAUAUGUGAAGCUUGUUUUAUUGGCAAUCAGGAAAUUCCGCAUCUCUCAUCUAUUAUUUUCACAGUUAUAAGCAUAUAGCUUAAAGAAUUUUUUAUAAUUACAGAAUAGAUAAAUUCUUAUUGUUUGAUACUCAGAGGCACCACUAUCUGUCUAAAGAAUGUGUAUUCAAGAAAUGCAUUAUUAGUACUAUCCCAUAUGAAAGAGCUUGAAGAGGCAUAUAAAUGUGACAAAGGCAGAGAUCUUUUAUAGAUAUAUGGAAAAAAAAUGUUGCAUUGGAUUCAACCCUUGUGGAACCAUCCUGAGAGAUUCAUAAUCAAGUUCAAUCCUUUCCUAUUCUCUGUAAUUGCUUCAGAAAUAAAUCACAGGUGUUAGUUGUCUUCAUUUACUAGGAUGAUUUUGAACCACUGAGAGAAGUACUUUCAGUUCUUUUCUCUAACUUGCUGAAUCCUGUUUGAGUCCUAUAUAAAACCAGGAAUCCAACUGCUUGUCUGAUAUGCCUCAGUUCACCCCAAGCUGAGCCAGCAUACUGAAUAUAAAGCAGAUAUUAGGCCACAUUUUAAAGACAGCAACGUGUAAAGGUUACAGAGGAGUAAUUAAUCUCACCUCUUCGGUUGCUUCAUGGCACCAGUUUUCUAACUCAGCCAAUCCUGUCUUAACAAACUCCCCAUUGCUGAAUGAGCAGCAUUCACGCCUCAAAAGGAGACUGCAAAAAUGAAUUUAAAAAUGCCACUUACACGUGUAUUACAUAAUCAAAGCAAUUGGGAUCAUAAGAAAAAAGCCAUGUUUGAGUGCACUUACCUGUUGAAUAACUGAACAUUGAUGAAUGAAAAUAUCUGAGUGAACACCUUGCGGACUAGGAAUGGCGGAACCUGUACAGUCACAAUAACCAACAAAUGAGGUACUGUUGUAAGAAGAAAAACAAUCAGUUUUUGACCUUAUAUUUCGGACGGUGACACUUACAUGGUUUGCUUUCAUUAUCUUCAAGUAAUAAUUCAGGCUUUUCACAAUGCUUUGCCAAUGAGCAAUCAACGCUUGCUGUGCAACAGCAUUAGCUUGAGAACGUCCCUUCACUAAACUUGCCUGGGAUGUUCUAGGUGCCUGUAUAAUGAAAAGAUACUUGAAUGGAGAUCAAGAAUAUAUUGGGCAACUUAAAAGUUACAUUGAAAAAGAGAAUGAGCUGCUUUAGAUUGAAGCAGUAAAUGAGUUACUGAGAUGGUGUGUGCCAAUUGGUCAAUUUGCCCAAUAGAAACAUUCUUUCUAGGUGCAAAGGAAUUGAUUGAUCCCUAAAUUCUAACAACAGAUUAUGUUAGGGCGUAUAGAUGUAAAAAAUAUAGGAAAUAUUUACUUACCAUCUAUAUGCCCUAACAUAAUCUGUUAUACCUUUCCCUUUUCUCCCCUUAUAAGUAAAAAAUCAAACAAGAUUGUUGAAGAAAAAGUACAAAAUAAAAGUCUUAUAAACCCAUUGUGAAAAGAUAGUCAAUGGAUUUGUUUGUAUUUAAAAGAAUUGAAUUGCAACCAAACAAAAUAAACAAACAUGUUCUUCAAUCUUUCAUAAAAGUAAAGCAACAAGUUGAGUGUCUGUUUUUAAAUAAUUAGCAACAAAAGUUUGUCAUUUCUUGGCCUUAAUAAGUGAAUUGCAGGCUGACUCAUAAGAAUAUCAAUAGAUUCAAUACUGAUGUGUUGGGUAGUUAGGGAAGGACUUACAUAAAAAAGGGUUCUUCAAAAAAUGAGUUGCUUUUGACAUUAAAUGGAACUAGUCAUACCAUUCAUAUUUUGUUUCAAAUUAACUAUUGCUAAGAAGAAUUUCCUGAAUACACAAUCUAAGCAAUGGGGAAAUAUUUCUUUAAAUUGUCUCUUAUCAUUCCAUAUAUCUUCUCAAGGAAGGAUGUGAGUUACUAUUUAAAAAGCAAAGCUGGAUAUUUGGCUUCAACUUGUCUUAAGUCAUCCAGUCCACCCUGACCAUUAAGAAAUGAGAACCCAGCACUUUGUGGAGAUGCAUGAAGCCCCUUAAAAUGUAAGGCAACAAAUGAGAAAAUAGAAACAUAAACAAAAAAAAAAAUUAUAUACCCUCUCUCACAAUGUUUGUACCCCUUCUCAUAAUGUUCGUACCCUAUCUCACAAUGUUUGUACCUUUUUUUACAUUAUUCGUACCCUCUUUUCACAUUGUUUGCCACUCUUCUCACAUUGUUUAUACCCUUUUUAACAUAACAUUUCCACCUACAAAAUUUAUAUUUAAAUAAAAAAAAGUCAAAUUUUACCUUUAACACUUGUAAUCAAUUGAAAUCCUUCAUAUAAUAUAUUCCCAAGAGACAAAGAUUCUUGUUUUCCUUCUUCAAAAUAUAUAAAACUUCAUCUUCAAAUAUAAUCUACGAAUACACAAAAUAAUAAUAUAAAAAUAUUGAUGACAAUUUCAUAACAAAUGACUAAAUGGUCUCAAUUUGAUUAAUAAUAACUCAUAAAAAAAAUUCAAAAAUCUAAAUGUUAUAAAUUAUUACAUAUUUAAAUGUCAUUUAACAUGACAUUUCUACCCAAAACAUUUAUAUUUAAAUGAAUAUAUAUAUAUCAAAUGUUACCUUUUAAUACUUGUAAUCACUUUACAUCCUUCAUGUAAUGUCUUCUUCAAGACAUAUAAAACUUCAUCUUCAAAUUUAAUCUAUGAACACACAAAAAAAUGAUAUAAAAAUGUUAAUAACAAUUUGAUAACAAAAGAUUAAAUUAUCUUAAUUUGAUUAAUAAUAAACUCAUAAAAAAAAUUCUAAAAUUUAAAUUUUAUAAAUCAUUACAUAUUCGUUAUUUAACAUAACAUUUCUACCUACAAAAUUUAUAUUUAAAUAAGAAAAUAUCAAAUAUUACCUUUGACACUUGUAAUCACUUGAAAUCCUUCAUCUUCUUCAUAGAAUACAAAAUUUAAAUUUUCUCCCUAAAAAAAAGUUUCAAACUAGAUCUUCAAAUUUGAUUUGUCAAAACACAUCCCACAUAUUUUGUAAUAUGGUAGUUGAAACUAUUUAAUUUUCAUAUUAAAUUAGUAUCCUUUUUUGCAUAUAUGAAUAAUGAGAGUAUAAGGGUAGUUGGUAGGAUUUUCUUUUUUAGAUAGAGUUAGGUAGUUCAUUAAAUAAUAAAUUAUAUUUGAUAUUUAACAAUAAAUUAUAAAAAAAAUUGUAAUAUUUAGAUAUGUAUGAAAUGCAUGUGAUUGUUUCUCACCAAUAGGUCAUCUUUACCGGUUUGAUAAGUUUUUAUAAAAUUUUAAGGACAUGAAUUUUACACGUGUCAUUUUAUUAUUGGGGUCAAAUGUGGGUAGGUACCCCCAAAAUAAAGAGUGGGUACCAAAGAACAACCCAAGUAUUUAUGAUAUAAAACAAGGAAAAUUUUGCACUACCACUUUGAUAUCGUACCAAAAAAACAUUUUUGGCCAUUGGAUGAAGGUGGUUCAAUCCAGACUGUCCAACUGGUUUAUGCAUUAAAAAAAAGAAAAAAAAAAGAAAUAGGGUGUACAAGUUGCUGGUCUCUCCUUGUUUUCCCACUCUGUUUUGUCCGAAAGCUUGUAAUAAGAUAGAGAUGUUGAAGUUGUUGGAGCCACAUUUCAACAUGGGAGAAUUAAUGUAAACUGAGGGGCCUAUUGAUUUUUUGGAUUUCAAAGCCACAUUUCACCAUAAGAGAAUCAAUAAUUGAGGGGCUUACUGAUUUUCUGGGUUUUAGAGAGGUGAGCUUUAGAAAAACGUUUGAGAGUAGGAGAGAGAGAUUUAUAGUGAAAAGAUAGUUUAUAGAGAGAGUGAAUUGAGUGGAGAUUUUGGAGGAGAAAUUAGAGAGGACAAGAAAAGAAAGGAGCAAACUAAGGGAAUAGGGAACUUGUUAGUGGUUUUGUUGAAAAUUCGGGAAAUAAAGUUGAGCUAAGAGCCCAAAAAAUCCUAUUAGGUUUAGAGCAUCUUCAGGUAAAGAUACUUUGUUUUCCAUAAAUAAAGAUGAUCCUUUCAUUAUUCUUAGCCUCUUGUAGGAAGAGAUGAACAUAUUGCAAAGAGAAAAUAGAGAACUGCAAGUUAAGAGAAUGACGGAGAGAAUAGAGCAAGCAAGGUAGGUUGAGAGAUAGAGGGAGGCUUACUCUCAUGGAACAUCUCCCACUAGCGUUCAAUCCCCAUCUUUGUCUUCAUAGGUAGGUGUGUAUUUUGAACUAUUGUAGUCUUUCCUCUCUAAGUACUAGCUUGAAAAUUAAGAGAAAAUAAAAAACCCUAAUCAAUCUCAUGACCCUUCAUGCCACCACCACUAGUUUUUAGUCCUUUAAUUCCUUUAGAUAACAAUUUGUUGACCAUACUUAUGUUGUAGUUUGUGAAAUUCCAAUUUGUUAUCUUCUCAAAACAAAUCUAAGUACCAACUUAGUAAAACAUGACUCAAUCCCUUACUCUAUCUCUUCUAUUUUUAUUAGUGAUCUUGUAAUAGCCUUAAAAGUUGAACACUGAGUAACAUACUUAAACCAACAAAGAGACAAAUGGAAGACAUAUGGAUGCAUCAUAAUAUCAUAUGGAUGAAUAGGGCCCAUGAAAUUAAGUAUAAUUAAUUUCAUGGUCUAUUUAAAAGAGAGCACGGUGUUUCUAAAUUCAGUCAAUGUAUCAAACAAUAUUAAAGACCACAAAUACGUAUACAAGCUAUUGAAAACUGUUAUCAAAGAAGUUGGGGCAGAAAAUGUGGUCCAAAUUGUCAUAGAUAACGAGUCGACAUUCAUGAAAGUAGGGAAACUAUUAAUGAAGAAGUUUAACAUAUAUUGGAUUCCAUGUGAGGCACAUUGCAUCAACUUAAUGUUUGAAGAUAUCAACAAAAGAUCUAGUGUUGCAUAUGUGAUAAGUAGUGCUCAUAAGAUAACCAACUUCAUUUAUAAUCAUGAUUGGUUACUUGCACAAAUGAGUAAGUUCUGUGGUGGAGACAUAGUUAAACUAGGAGAUAUAAGGUUUGUUAUGAAUUAUAUUGCUCUUGAUAGUCUUCGUAAAAAAAAGGAUUGAUUUAAAGAAAUUUUUUAAGUGAUGAAUGGGCAACACACAAGCUCAGUCAGACAAACAUUGAACGAGAUGAGGAGAAAUUAAUGUUUGACCAUUAGUAUUGGGAUAGAGUGACAUAUGUUUCAUACUUUGAGCUAUUAUAUGUGGUGCUUUGAAUUAUAGAUUUAGAAGUUGUUUCCACAAUGUCAUUUGUAUACGGUCUCAUGUAAGUGAUGAAAGAGAAUAUUAAUUGUCAACUAGUUGGAGAUUGGAUCUUCAAAAUAAUCAAAGAUUGUUGGGAGAAAACACUAAGAUAUCAACUUCUCUAUGCAGUAGAUACCUAAUUUUGAUAAGUUAUUACUCUUAUUUUAUUUAAUUUUCUCUUACAAAAUACUAAAUCUAAUUAAUUUUAUUAUAGCAUACUUCUUGAAUCCAAGGUUUCUAUAUAGGCAUGGAGUUGGUAGUGAUUCAAGUUUAAUUCAAGAUAUCCAUGACAUAUUAGCUAAAUUAGACUCAAAUGCUAAAUCGAUCAAUUUGGAAAUGAGGUAAAUAAAAAACUGUUAUUUAACUUAAUCUAAUCAAAUAAUAAUUUCAUUCAUCGAUUUAUUUGAAUGUUAACUAAAAAAUAUGAUAUUAAAAAAUUAAAUGUUGAAUACAUAGUUUGUGUUUUUUUAGAUGCAAAUAGAGGAUCCAGUUAUGAAGUGGCGGUUGCAACAAGGUCAACCAUGGUGCCCAAUGAGUACUAUUUCUUAAUAAAAAAAAAAAUUUGAUUAUCAUUAUUGUAAAUUCACCACAUAAGUAUUGAUAUAAUUAUGAACUUGGUUGCAAUUGAAUGGUGCUUCAUAUAUGGGAAUCAAAUACCUACAUUGAGGAAGUUGAUCAUCAAAGUUCUUUCAAACUGCGUCUUCUUCUGCUUGUGAGAGAAAUUAGAGCACGCUAGCUUUCAUCCACACAAAGCAACGAAAUCAUUUAGACUAGCCCCAAUUGGAGUAAUUAGUUUUUUUUUGUUACUAUAAUAUGAAGUUAAAGUUACACAAAGCUAAAGUUACAUGAUAUGGAGGCAAAAAAUGGUUGAGUUGCUGAGAAAGAUUAUCUUAAUCUUCUUGACAUUUCAGCGAGCUGGGUAAAGAAGAAGAUAAUCAAUUGUUAUAAUGGGUCAGACUUAUAUACUUGAAUGAUGAAGUUGGAAAUCUUGAUCCAUGAAUUGUCACUCAUGCUUGAGAAUUUGGAGUUAAUGUUGAAUGCUUGUUGUUCGAAGAAGUUCACACUGAAAGUUUUAGCAAAGAUACUAAGGAUUCAUUUUAGGAAGCAUUGAUUUCCCACCAAGAGGUUGACUCCACAAGUGCUAGUCAAAGUAGUAGACCUAGCACUAUUGGUAUUGCUUUUGGUUAUGAUGGUUCAAGAGGUGGAACUGAUGAUGGAGGUGAUAAUGUAGGAUGAGAUAUUGGGGAAUGCCAACAAAAUCAAUAUCCAAUGAGCCAAUUUACCUAUGAAAAUGAUUUCAUGCACUACACACAAGAUGAAGACCAUGACUCUCAAAGAGCUGGUCAGGGCAUAGGAACUAUUAAGAAGUCCUAUAGAUGAAGAGUAUGAAUGAUGACACCAUAUAACGAGGAGUUACUUUCAGACAGUUUUGAAUCUAUCAAUGAUGAAAAUAUCGAAAAUUACGGGUAUAUCGGUAACUUGAUUUUAUGGAUAUAUCGUAUAUAUUGGAGAAAUAUUGGUGGAUAUUUUGAAAAAUAAAUUUGAUAGGCCAAAAAUUGAUCAGAACUCAUGGACAUGUAAGAAAAACCUCAUAGCAAUGUAAUUAGAAGUAUAAUAGACAUUUUAAAGUUGUUUUGUUGAAGAAUUUGAUAUAUGUAUGAUAUGAUUUGUGAUAUUAAAUGUAAUUAAAUCAUGUCGGUCGAUAAGAAAUAUGAAUUUUGUAAUUGUACACUCAUUAUGAAGCUUCAUGAAAGACUUGAUUUAAUUAAAUAUCAAUAAUUUGUACAUAUUACAUUGUAAUGACCCUUUAGUGCCAAAAUGAGGACCGAUGUGGUUUAAUGGAAUUGGUAGAUGAAAGAACCUUGUCUUCCUGUUAGAGACACUAUUGGUACCAACUCGUUAAGCCUCAAUAAUAUUGGUUAAAAUUUUUAACAUGUCAUGCAUAUAUCUCUUGAGUCUUGCCUAUUGCCUCUACAUGGAUAGGAUACUCAAGGUUGACCCAUGUGUUCAUGUCAAAUCUUUCUUACAUUUGAUAUAGAACUUGGUAUGACAUUUGUGUAUCAGAGAGAUAACUCGGCAUGCCAUACUCUUCAUCAAUUGAACUUGAAGGUUGAUCAUAAUCCAUCACAUAAAGAGGGUAGACGUUAGCCUCAUUCGAGGAGUCACUAAAUUGAGUUCAUAUUCUCAUAGAUUCAAAACUCCUUGAAAAUAACUCCUCGUUAUAUGGAGUCAUAAUUCGUUAUCUUUCUCUAUAGGCUUCCCAAUAGCUCCUAUGCCUAGAUCAACUCUUCUAGAGCCAUGUUCUUCAUUUUGUGUGUAGUACAUGAAAUCAUUUUCACAAGUGAAUUGACUUAUUGGAUAUUGACUUUGUUGGCGUUCCCCAAUAUCUCCUCUUAUGUUAUCACCUUCAUCAUCAGUUUCACUUUUUGAACCAUCGUAAUUAGAAGCAAAAGUACCAACAAUGCUAGGUCUACUACUUUGGCUGACACUUGUGGAGUCAACCUCUUGGUGGGAAUCCAAUGCUCCUUGAAAUGAAUCCUCAGUAUCUUUACUAAAACUUUCACUAUGAACUUCUUCGGACAACACACGUUCAACAUCAACUCCAAAUUCUCGAACAUGAGCGGCAAUUCGUGGAUUAGGAUUACCAACUUCAUCAUCCAAGUGUAUAGGCCUGACCCAUUGGAAUAAAUGAUUAUCUUCUUUACCCACCUUGGUUGAAAUGUUAAAAAGAUCAAAGUAAUCUUUCUUAUCAACUCGAUCAUUUUUCGCCUCCAUAUCACGUAAAUUUAGCUUCAUGUUGUAGUAAUAAAAAACUAAUUGCUGCAAUCGGGGGUAAGCCAAAUGAUUUCGUUGCUUUGUGUGGAUUAGAGAAAAUGUGCUCCAAUAUCUCUCACAAGCAAAAGAUGUUGCAGUUUGUGAGAGAACUUUAAUGGCAAACUUCCUCAAUGUAGGUGUUUGGUUCCCAUACAUGAACCACCAUUCAACUGUAAGGGAAUUCAUAAUUAUAUAAAUACUUAUGUGAUGAAUUUACAAUAAUGAUAAUCAAAUUUUUUUCUAUUAAAAAAUAGUACUCAUCAGGCACCAUUGUUGACCUUGAUGCAAUUGUUGCUCGAUCACCGAAUACUCUCUUUCCAUCUUGAAAAGCACAAAUUGUUAAUAUCAUAUUUAUUAGUAAAUGUUCAAAUAAAAUGAUGAAUGAAAUUAUUAUUUGAUUAUAUUGAGUAAAAUAAGAGUUUCUUAUUUACCUCAUUUCCAAAUUGACUAAUCAAUUCAACAUUUGGGUCUAAUUUAGCAAAUACAUCAUGAAAUUCUUGAAUUAAAUCUAGAUCACUACCAACUCCAGGUCUAUAUUAAAACUUUGGAUUCAAGAAGGAUGCUACAAUAAAAUUAUGUAGAUUUAGUAUUGUAUAAGAGAAAAUGAAAUAAAAUCAAAGUAACAAUUGAUAAAAAUUAAGUACUUGUCGCAUGAAGUGGAUGUUUUAAUGUUUUCUCCCAACAAUCUUUGAUUAUUUUGAAGAUCCAAUCAUCAACUUGUUGACGAAUGAGAUUCUCUUUCAUCAUUUGCAUAAGCUCGUACACAAACGACAUUAUGGGAACAACUUUUGAAUAUAUGAUUCGAAGCACCACGUAUAGUGGCUCAAAGUAUGAAACAACAUGUGUCACUCUAUCCCAAUACUAAUGAUCAAACAUUAGUUUUUCCAUAUCUCAUCCAAUGUUUGUCCAACUGAGCUUGUGUAGUGCCCAUUCAUCACUCAAACAAUUUCUUCAAAUCAACCAUUUUUUUAAGACUACUUUCAAGAGCAAUAUAAUUUGUAGCAAACCUUGUAGCUCCUGGUCGAACAAUGUCUCUACCACAGUAAUUUCUCAUUUUUGCAAGUAACCAACCAUGAUUGUAAAUGAAGUUAGUUAUCUUAUGGUCAUUGUGUAUCACAUCUGCAACUCUAGGUCUUUUCUCGAUGUCUUCAAACAUUAGGUCAAUGCAAUGUGCCACACAUGGGGUCCAAUAUAAGUUAAACUUCUUCAUCAACACCUUUCCUGCUUUCAUGAACGUUGACCCGUUAUCUGUGACAAUUUGGACCAUAUUAUCUACCUCGACUUCUUUGAUAACAUUCUUCAAUAGCUUGUAUCUGUAUUUGAGGUCUUUGAUAUUGUUCGAUGCAUCGAUUGAAUUAAGGAACAUUGUACUCCCUUUUAAAUAGACCAUGAAAUUAAUUAUACUUAAUCUUAUGGGUCCUGUCCAUCCAUCUGACAUUAUGGUGCAACCAUAUGUCUCCCAUUUCUCUCUUUGUUGGUUCACAUAAGCUUCCAUAUCUUUGUAUUUCAUUUCCAAGUACUUACUCUUUAUUUCAUAUGAAGAUGGAGGUUCGAUUCCCAUUCCUACAAAUCAUAUGUAAGAAAUAUUUGAAACAUGACACAAAAGACUAUACCUACUCAAGGUAUGAAACAAUAUAAAAUUUGAGAACUUAGAAAUUAUCAACUUGUUGUGCACCAAUAAUCAUAUUCUUGAAGUGGAGAGAGUUUGCUUUAUUGGGCGUAACGCUAUCAUAAAUGAAUAAUUUUCUUAUUAAGCGUCCCAUCGUUUCUUUAAUUGAACCACCCUUUAAUAUGUCUUUAAUAUUUUUUUAUCUUGUUGCAGAAGACUUCUAGAGGGAUGGUGCAAUAGAUGGUGAUGGGUCUAAAUGUCACGUACUUUGAGAUUUUCGCAUUAUUGGUGCACCACUAGGGUGUGACAACUCCCAUGUUUUAUGCUUGCUUCUCACAACAAUUUCAUAUUGUUGCCGCUCCCAUUCUAUUACACGAACUGCUUCUUGAUAACCAUCCCACUCAUCCGGGUGCAUAUCUACUAGAUACAUGUACACUUCUUCAUCUUCAUCAUCAACCUCGUCCAUGACAUGUAUGCCUGGCCCCUAUAAUGCCAUGUAAUUGGGCCCGAAUCUCUUCAAUAUGUGUAGUUUUCAUUGCUUUUGUUUUACUUUUUUUCAUGUAACAUCUCUCGUAUCUCUUCUUUCACUUUGGGUGGCACUGUAGGAUACUCUUUGGUGUUGUUAUUUAGGUUUCCAUGUGCUAAAUGAUACUUGAAUUGAUUAAUGCCUCCACUCUUCAUUAACAAUCCACAAAAAUUACAAAUUGUCCAAUUUCGGUUCCCCUCUACUGGUGAACAAUACUUCCAAGCUACAUCUCGGUUGAACAUGCCACUCCCACCACCUCCACCUCCACCUCUACCUCCACCUCUACUUCCACUUGCACUAGCCAUUGCAAAUCUAUUAAACAUAUACUAUUUAAUUACAAUUGAAUAAAAAUUUAAAUUAAACAAGUAAUUAAAAAUAAACUUAUUGCAAAUCUAGUAAUCAUGUCAAUCAAACUUAUUGCAAAUGCACUAAUUAAUUAUGAUUGAAAAAAAUUGAAGAAAUUGAGAAGUUGCUAAUAUUGUUAAUUAACUUAAUAAAUUAACUAAACUAAAUUAAUUCUAUGAAAAUCUACUAAUUCAUUCAAGAGUUAAAAAAAAUAUACUAAUUAAUUACGAUUGAAAAUAAAAAAAAAAUUGAAGAAAUUGGGAAGCUACUAAUAUUGUCAAUUAACUUAAUAAAUUAACUAAGCUAAAUUAAUUCUAUGAAAAUAUACUAAUUCAUUCAAGAGUUAAAAAAUGUACUAAUUAAUUACGAUUGGAAAGAAAAAAAAUUGAAGAAAUUGGGAAACUACUAAUAUUGUCAAUUAACUUAAUAAAUUAACUAAGCUAAAUUAAUUCUAUGAAAAUCUACUAAUUCAUUCAAGAGUUAAAAAAAUGUACUAAUUAAUUACGAUUAGAAAGAAAAAAAAUUGAAGAAAUUGGGAAACUACUAAUAUUGUUAAUUAACUUAAUAAAUUAACUAAGUUAACUUAAUUAUAAGAAAAUCUACUAAUUCAUUCAAGAGUUAAAAAAAAGGUACUAAUUAAUUACGAUUGAAAAGAAAAAAAAAAUUGAAGAAAUUGGGAAGCUACUAAUAUUGUUAAUUAACUUAAUAAAUUAACUAAGCUAAAUUAAUUCUAUGAAAAUCUACUAAUUCAUUCAAGAGUUAAAAAAAUAUACAAAUUAAUUCAAAUGUACUAAUUAAUUACAAUUGAAAAAAAAAAUUGAAGAAAUUGGGAAGCUACUAAUAUUGUUAAUUAACUUAAUAAAUUAACUAAGCUAAAUUAAUUAUAAGAAAAUCUACUAAUUCAUUCAAGAGUUAAAAAAAAGGUACUAAUUAAUUACGAUUGAAAAGAAAAAAAAAAUUGAAGAAAUUGGGAAGCUACUAAUAUUGUUAAUUAACUUAAUAAAUUAACUAAGCUAAAUUAAUUCUAUGAAAAUCUACUAAUUCAUUCAAGAGUCAAAAAAUAUACAAAUUAAUUCAAAUGUACUAAUUAAUUACAAUUGAAAAAAAAAUUGAAGAAAUUGGGAAGCUACUAAUAUUGUUAAUUAACUUAAUAAAUUAACUAAGCUAAAUUAAUUAUAAGAAAAUCUACUAAUUCAUUCAAGAAUUAAAAAAUGUACUAAUUAAUUACAAAUGAAAAGAAAAAUAAUUGAUGUACUAAUUAACGACAAUUGAAAAGAAAAAAAUUUGAAGAAAUAAAGAAUAUACUAAUUAAUUACACUUCAAUACAAAAAUAAUUAAAAUUUAAAACAAACAUACCUUUACAAAAAAAAAAAAAAAAAAAAAGUAACCUUGGGAGCAAUGAGAGAUUAAAGACGAAAUGUGGAUGAAAUUGGUAAAAAAAUGAGCUAUUUAUAGAAAAAAAAAAGUUGGCCCAAAAUAGCUGUUGGAUUGAAAUCUGGGCAAAAUAUGACCAUUGGAUCAUCAUAUAGUUGUUGGGGUUCAAUUCUGGCAGUUGGAUCACAUCCAAAUUCAAUUUGGACCAUAAAAUCCACAUGAAAUUGACCGUUGGAGCUCGGACUAGAUUUGGACGGUCAGAUCAAUGUGGGGAAGCUAGGAGUCAUUGGAUCAGAGGACCAAGGAAGCAGAUUAAGGCGCCCAACUCGAACUAGAUCUAGACCGUCAAAUCAAUGCGGGGAAGUUAGGGUCUAUCGGAUCAGAGGACCUAGGAAGUAGAUAAAGGCAUCGGUUUUUUUCAAAAAAUCGAUGAAAAAUUGGCGAUACAAACCGAAAUUUCGCUGAUUAAUUGCAAUAGCCGAUGAUUUUUUGAAGAUUUUGUCGAUUUUUCGCCUGAAGCUAAUUUUGUGGCGAUUUUGAUUGAAAUUUAAUGAAAUUCCUCCCGUCGACAUUUCUCCCAUUUAUUUCGUAUUGCCGGUCGUCAAAACCCAAAAUUUUGGAAAAAAAAAAAAAAAAUUCAUCCAUGGAAUCUAUGAGUAUAGGGACUCAAUUUAGUGACUCCUUGAAUGUGGUUGAUGUAUACCCUCCUUAUGUGAUGAGUUGGUCAACCUUCAAGUUCAACUAAUGGGGAGUAUGGUAUCUUGAGCUACUCCCAUUUUGCACAAAUGUCAUACCAAGUUCCAUAUCAGAUGUAAGGAGAAUUUGACAUGAAUACAUGGGUGAACCUUGAGUAUCCUAUCUAUUUAGAGACAAUGUGCAAGACUUUAGAGAUAUAUGCAUGGCAUGUUAGAAUUUUUAACUAAUAUUAUUGAGGCUCAAUGAGUUGGUACCAAUAUUGUCUCCAACAAUAAGAUGAGGUUUCUUCAUCUACCAAUUCCAAACCACAUUGGUCCUCAUUUUGGUAUUAAAGGGUAAUUACAAUGUAAUAUGCACAAAUUAUUAAUAUUUAAUGAAAUCAAGUCUUUCAUGUGGCUUUGUAAUGAAUGUAUAAUUACAAAAUUCACAUUUCUUAUUGAUCAACAUGAUAUAAUUAUAUCUAAUAUCGCAAAUCAUAUCAUACAUAUAUAUCAAAUUAUUUAACAAAAUAACUUUAAAAUGUCUAUUAUACUUCUAAUUACAUUGCUAUGAGUUUUUUUUUUUUUUUUUUUUUACAUUUCCAUGAGUUUUGAUCAUUUUAGGCCUUUUGAAAUUUUUUUCCAAAAUAUUCGUCGAUAUAUUUCCUAUAUAGCCGUAAAAUCGAAGUAUCAAUAUAUCCGUGAUUAUUGAUAUUUUAAACCUUGUUUAUGCAUGUCAUGUUUUAAAAGUUAUACUUAUUAAAUACCUUAUAUUUUGCAAUGAACUUGUUAAUUUUCAAUAUGAGGAUGCAAAUCAGGAAGACCUUUUUACUUUAGAGCCUAGACAAAAAUUACUAAAUAUGGUGAGGAAUACUUAUUAAUUUUAUUACAUAAUUAAUAUUGUUAAUUUUUAGAUCAUAAAUGUAUUUGCAUGCAAACUCAAUACUUUUAAGAAGAAAUUCAAGGAAUACGGUCCACGAGAUGCUAUUUAUCCACUACAUUUAUGGUAUGUUCAUCCAUUAUAUUUCUUAUUAAAGAAAAAAAAUGAAACCUAAUAAAUACUGUGAUAGUUUAUUUUGCAUAGCAAAUGAUCUUGCAUGGUGGUAGAAAAUUGUCAAAUUCUACCAAGAUAUUCACAUAUUAUCAAGCCCAUGGAUGAAAUAAAGGAUUGUGACAAGGUACAUAUAUGAAGUUGUAUUCAUAUUAUAGUUGUAAAUAAUUAUCAAUGCUAAAAUGUGUGUUUUGUUUAGAUACACAUAUUGAUUCAUGAUAGAUGUCUAGAUCAUUGAUAUUUGUGUGUGAUAAAUCUUGAUCAAUGCAAUAUUCAUAUCUUCAAUUCAUAAUCAUAAAAAAAAAAAAAUGGAUCACAUGUGAACUACAUGUGUGAAAAUAGUGGUAUAUGUCUCACAUUUUAAUUAAUUUUAUUACUUUUUAGUGUUAGUUGUUAACUUGACAUGUUUUAUUUUGCUAAAAGAUAUAAUGAUAUGAAUUAGGUUGAAGAGUGUGCACAUUUUUUUAAUCUCAAUGGGCAUGACAAGAAUUUAUCAAGUUUUUCUAUUGAAAGACCUACAUGGGUACAUGUGCAAGAUGAUUCGUGCCCAAUUGGUGUCUCAGCUGAUUCGUAUCCAGCUGGUGCUCCUUGAUUGAGGGAGUAAUCAACAAAAUUUAUAACCUAUUACACCAUAUACUAGGGUAGCAAAGAAAAAGCUACUAUAGCAUAGUGGCUCUAGGGUCGUUCACUGGGAUGGGUUUUCACUUCACAAUUGAUAUUAAUUCAAAGUUGAAUUGGUGCCUUUUCCUUUCAAGGUUAGCUUUAAAAGAAAACAUAAAGAUGUUUGAAUGAAAAAGGUUUGGUUUUAAACUAACCAAAAAUAGUAACUGAUUUUACUUACAAAGAAAAGUGUUUCUUGGAGUUUCAGAUCACUAGGCUUAGAUUCCUCAUACAAAAAGGGAGUUCCGGUCACUUGUUUCUUUUCCUCGCAUUAGAGAAUUAACAUAUAGUUAAUUCUCCAACCGGUGCUGUACAGAUGCUUCCCAUUAAUGGGUUCAAACACUAAAUCCCUCUCACUGAUGCACCUUGCAAUGGCUCAUACCUCUCACCUAGCACUUGCCAUUCAAGGUGAUCUUUAACCUUGGAUUACCCGUCAAAAGCUCGCAAGAGAUAACUAAUGGAUGUCUCCUUGGAGUCCAAAAGCUUACCAAGUGUUGGCUAUUCUAGAAAAUCCUACCUUCAAACCACCUACCAAAAGCUCGCAAGAGAUAAACUGCAUCUCCAUGGACGGAGAUCACUUGCCUUACCUAGUGUUGGGUCAGGUGAAUUAAAGGUGUUUUAAGUUAACUAAAAAGAUAAAAACCAUUAACGGGUCACACUUUCUCUUCAUUAAAAAUUAAAACAACAAAACUUCCAAUUUAUGCAUUUGGAAACUUACCCGGUUUUCCUCACUCCAAGAGACAAAGAGCCUAGCCUCUCAUCCUCUGAGGAAAAAUCCUCAGAGUUUGUUUGGCUAGCAAGAAAAUGAAAAUGAAAGAUAAGGAAAAAACAGAGCAAGGCUCUGUAUAUUCUAUAUAUUUAUAUAUCUAUAUCUCGUUGGAUUACAUGAUUCUAUCUCUAUAUAUCUCUAUUACAACGGAUGCAAGGGAAUAUAUAUAGAGACGUUUUUCUAACCUUCCUAGCUAAGAAAUCUUAUGGUUGGUGGAUUACAAGGAGAAGAAUGGAAAUUUAUACAAAAAUAUCUGAAGAAAAAUAUCCAAAAGUGUCGGUCACAAAUAUCGGGAAGCACUAAGGACCAUUUUGCAGGUGAAAACGAGGUCUGCGAGAUUUUGCAGACGCACAAAAAGGGCUGCGAAAUCACUUCGCAGCAAAAGGCUGAUUUCGCAGCGCUGCGAAGUUGGCUUUUAGCUUGCGGUGUUCGGCUUCCAAUGUGUUGCAAAUAUCGGGAAACUUCAGGAGGAAUUCCACAGCACUAUGCAAAAUGGCUGCGAAAUCAUUUCGCAACAAAAGGGUGAUUUCGCAGCCAUGCAAAAUUCUUCCUUCAGCUUGGAGUGAUUGGAUUCCAAUGGCUGUAACUCCUUCAUUUCAACUCCGAAUUGCACACCGUUUGAAGAGUCGGAUUCUUGACUUCCUGAGAUUUGAAAUGGUAUAUAGCAUCUAGAAAAUGGACUUCGGGAAGUGCUCCAAAAGUGCAAAAGAAGACUGCAGCUGCUGUCCUCUAUUUUCUUCACUCUGUUUUUCCUCUCUCUGUUGUUCUUUCCUUGCAUACUUUGAACGACUUUGGCAAAGGGCCAUGGAGCUCCCAAGCUUGGUUCUUCAUUAAUUUGAGCUUCCAAAAGCUUUGCCAUGAACUAUAUACAACUCUCCCUCAUUCUUGGAUUGCUUUGGUGAUCAAAAAGCUAUCAAAAACACCAAAACUUAACACAAUUUGAUUAGAAACGAUUGCAAGGGUCCUUAACAUGUCAAUUGAGUUAAAAGGCAAUAACUACUACUCAAAAGUGUUUAAAAGAGUUAAUUACAAGCUAUGAAAUAGCACUUUUUGAGUAGUAAUCACAAGAUAAUGGGUAAACAAGUAUAACUAUUUUAUCAAAUAUAAUGUGUUCAAAAUAAUAUUACUAUGUACUAAAUAGAUAAAUUUUGUCUCAUUGUUUAUGUUAGGUGGGAUUAUGGAGCAUAUGUCAUUAAUCAUAUACAAAAAUUAGAAUACAGGGACUCAAAUUCAACCCCUCUCCAUUGGGAGUCUACACUUGCAAGGCACAAGUCGACAAUUGAAUUAGUGUUUGAUGAUGAAAAUAGUGAGAAAGCCAUAAUACUAAAUAAAAUUCAUAAUCAUACAAAAAGCAAGAGAAGAAGAGUAUAGAAUACAAUCAAGAGUUGAUUUUUUGUCUACAUGAUUUUUUACAUUGUAGUAGCACUCAUUGGUUUUGAUAUGAAGAACUUGAUCUCAAAAAUCCAGAUGUAAAGUGGUUCAUAGUAACCUACAUUGAAAAUAUUUAUAGUUAUAUAUAUGACUAAAUAUUAAAUGCUUAGGAACUUCAUUAUAUGGACAAAUGAUAUGUGGUUUAAAUAAGUUACUAUAUGACUUUUACUUGGUUUGUGAAGUAAUUCGGUGGAUGUAACCAGAGCCAUAAAUCACAUAAGCUUGUUUCUAGACUAUUCUGAAAUGUGCCAAGUGUUUCCUGUAAUAUGAUUUAAUUUUUCAAUUACUCUCAUAAAGAAUAUUUUGCACAUGAUAAUAAAACUUACAAAAAAAAAAUGUUAAACUUUUAUUUUGAGAAAAUUCAUUUGUCUCAUGUCUUAUCUACCUUCCAUGUUGUGAUUUAGUAAUGAAGGCAUGUCUCCCUAUAUUAACAUAAAUGAUAUUUUCUUUCAAUUUAUAGAAUGAUAUAUAUUUUAGAUAAGUUACUUUAUGACUCUUGCUUGGUUUGCAAACUAAUUUGGUGGAUGUAACCCAAGCCAUGAAUCAUAUAAGCUUGUUUCUCAACUAUUUUGAAACGUGCCAAUUGUUUCAUGUAGUAUGAUUUAAUUUUUCAAUUACUUUCAUAAAGAAUAUUUUGUACAUCGUAAUAAAACUUAAUAAAAAAAAUGUUAGACUUACAUUUUGAGUAAACUCAUUUGUCUCAUGUCUUGAUCGACCUUCCAUGUUGUGAUUUAGUAAUGAAGACAUGUCCCCCUAUAUUAUCAUGAAAAAAAUCAAUUUUUUCUUUCAAUCAAUUUAACCAAAUAAAAAUAAAUAUAAAGUGAAUAAUUAAUAAAUCUAGUGAUGAGUUUGAAUAUACCAUUUCUCCAAUUGAAUCUUCAAUGUGGAUGGAUGCAUUAUGAAUCUUAGCAAACUUUGGACAUUUCUGAACAGUGUGUCCUAUUUUCUUACAUUUCUCACAACGCCUUGGUUUCUUACAUUUGUCUUUUAAGGUACCUGGAUUAUCUUUGGUCUUCAUAGUGUUAAGAUCUUUAACAUGGUGUUUUGUAGCUUUCAAAUCUUCUCGUUCACCUUCUUCCAUUGAAUUUUUACAAAGUUCUUCCAUUUGAUAAGUGAGUCUUUGAAUUUCACAUCUAGCCUCUUUAAAAGUUUUUUCUGAUUGAGAUGCAAAAUAAGACAUCCAUGAGCACAUAGAGCUAAGUGCACCAUAUUGUAUGAUGUUAGUUGCAUCGCCUUGACUUUCAUAGUCAUGAUGAACUUGGACCAUUUCUUUUGCUAACUUAGACCACCUUUUCAUAAUACAACUCUCAGGUAUUUCUUCAAGGUGUUCUAUCUUCAUUACAACAAUCAUGUGGGGAUAUGAAAAACCAACUGACUCAAACAUUAUACAAGUACAUUUCAUAGACUGAUCACCAUUACCAUAACAUACUUUCCAUAACUUGUCAGGGCUUCUAAACUUGGUCAAUGGAUGGAUAUGAUAACCUCCAUGAUUUUUUGUAUUGACAAGGAAAAACAAUUUUGCAUUCUUCAUCUCAUCCCUAAAUUUGAGAAAAAAUUGCCUUGUGAAAAUAAUCUUUGCAUGUUUCUCAAGUGCAUAGAGUUUGGUUGUUAGAAUAGUUGAAGAAUGGUGUGUCUCAAACUCUACAUUUGCCUCAUUAUGACGAAUAUGUGAGAAUGCUCUAUCAAAAUGCUUCACAAACUCAAACAACUUCAAACGAGUUUUAAGGAAAUGAUUCAGGUAUGCAUUCAUGCUUUCACACCUUUGUGUGCUUUUCACACUUGAAAAAAAAAUGCCCCCCUUAAAUGAUCUUUUGCUUAUUUGGAACGCUUAAUAUAUAUAUUACCCACUUAUGUCCAUGAAGAAUAAACAUUUCCAACAAAUCAUUUCAUGCACAUUCAAAUUCUUUAAUGAUGUCUUCCAUGAACAUGCACUUAGAAAAAUGACUAGUAAAAUCUUUGACAUGGACAUUAGUGAAUGCAUUGCGUUGAAUAUGCUAAGCACAUAAUCGAUGACAAGAGUAUGAAAAUAUCCUCUUAAUGGUUUUAUGCAUUGCUUUAUCCCCAUCAGUAAUAAUAGAAAGAGGCCUCUUGUUAUUCAUUGCAUCAAGAAAUGUCUCCAAGACCCAUGUAUAAGUGCUAGCACUCUCAUUUACCAAUAAUGCACAUCCAAUCACUAUAGUUUGAUGGUGAUGGAUAAUGCCAACUAGUAUGACCACUAGAUUUUUAUAAGCAUUAGUCUGAUAAGUUGUAUCAAAUGCUAACACAUCUCCCAAACAAGUGUAAUCCAAUCUACUUGUAGAAUUUGCCCAAAAUAGGUUUGCUAAACGAUCGUCUUCAUCAACAUUGUACUUGUAAUAAAAAGAUGAAUCCAUUUCAAUCUUUCCACAAAAGCAAGCCAAAGCACCCUCUGCAUCACCAUCUCUUAUUUGAACUCUACGAUUAACAUCAACAUUGUUAUAUAGAUAUUUUUUUUUUUUUUUUAUUUGUGAAGCCAACAUUGUUACAUCUACCUGAUUGUUGCUCCAUGUAAUCCAUAAUUUGGCUAGUUCUCAUGCUAACACCUUGCAUUGUAUUCAAUUAAGUGUUAUUUGCAUUUUGCAUGAUCGUAUGGGAUCAAAGGAAUUUGAUAUUUUUUUUGUUCCACCAAAGGAUGAUUAUGAUCAGUCAUAAACUCCUUCACAAUCCACUUGUUCAUUUGUUUGUUAAACCUAAUCUAAAAUGUUGGCUCACAACCAACUCUAGUUAUUGCCUUAGGUUCUCGUUUUUUAUUUUCAUUCUCUAAACACACUCUUUGUCAAUAUCCUUAUUUCGAGCAAACCCACUUAUGAGAUAUUAUAUUUUGAUUCUUAUCUCGUUCAACAUCAUUCUUUCUAACAACGAAUCUAGUAAUGUUAGGAAGUAAAUUAUAAAAUUCUUCUGCCUCUUCUAUUGAGUUGAACUUCAUUUUCCAUACAUCUUCAAGUGUUAAACCAUUCAAAAUCUUCUCUAAACCUUGCAUGACCUCUUCAUUAGACUCAAUUUUCAUAUUGUUAUCAUAUUGGUAACUAAAGUCUUCAUCAUUCAAAUCGAUAAUGAAUUCCUUUCCUCUGCCUUUGUCCAUCAUAUCUAUGACAAAACUGAUAUAUAAAAGAAAAAGUAAUUAGAAAAUUACAUUAUCGAAUCAUAUUUGUUAUCAAUUUGGUUUUUUUUUUUUAAAAAUAUUUUUAUAUCAUUUCAUACCUUGUUUAACAUGUUUCAUAUCAUUUAUCAAAUUCGUUCAUGUCUUUUCUCACUUUUUUUUUAAAUAAAGAUAUGAAUAAAAUUUUAUAAUCCCUAAAUACAAAAAAAAAAUGAUAUAAAAAUAUUGAAUUUGAUAACAAAUAACUAAAUUAUCUUAAUUUGUUUAAUAAAAUUUUUUUACCUUCUUUCACAUUGUUCGUACCAUCUCUUAGAAUAUUCGUACACUCUAUCAUAAUAUUCAUAUACUCUCUCACAUUGUUCGUACCCCUUUUCACAAUGUUUAUACCCCCUCUCACAUUGUUCAUACCCUCUCUCACAUUGUUCAUACUCUAUCUCAUAUUGUUUGUAUUCUAUCUCACAUUGUUUGUACUCUCUCAUAAUGUUUGUAUUUUCUCUCACAUUGUUCAUACCCCUUCUCACAGUGUUCGUACCCUCUCUCACAUUGUUCAUACCCCAUCUUACAAUGUUUGUAUCAUCUCUCACAAUGUUUGUACCUUCUCUCAUAAUGUUCGUACCCCCUCUCACAAUGUUCGUACCCUCUCUCACAUUGUUUCUAUCUUCUCUCAUAAUGUUCGUACCCCCUCUUACAAUGUUCAUACCCUCUCUCAUAUUGUUCGUAUCUCAUCUCACAUUGUUCGUACCCCUUCUCACAAUGUUCAUACCAUCUUUCAUAAUGUUCAUACCCCCUCUCACAAUGUUAGUACCCCCUCUCACAUUGUUUGUACCCUCUCUCACAUUGUUCAUACACUAUUUCACAUCAUUCAUACCUCAUCUCAUAUUUUUUUGUACCAUCUCUUACAUUAUUUGUACUAUUUCUCACAUAUUUUGUACCAUCUCUCACAUUGUUUGUACUCUCUCUCACAUUGUUUGUCCCCCUUCUCACAUUAUUUGUACCCGUUCUCAUAUUGUUCGUACUUUGUCUCACAUUGUUUAUACCCUCUUUUAACAUGACAUUUCUAUCCACAAAAGUUAUAUUUAAAUAAAUAAAAAAAGAAUCAAAUUUUACCUUUAACACUUGUAAUCACUUGGAAUCUUUCAUAUAAUAUCUUCCCAAGAAACAAAAAUUCUUAUUUUCCUUCUUUAAGAUAUAUAAAACUUCAUCUUCAAAUUUAAUCUAUGAAUACAAAAAAAAUGAUAUAAAAAUAUUGAUGACAAUUUUAUAAUAAAUGACUAAAUUGUCUCAAUUUGAUUAAUAAUAACUCAUAAAAAUUCAAAAAUCUAAAUCUUAUAAAUCAUUACAUAUUUAAAUGCUAUUUAACAUGACAUUUCUACCUACAUAAUUUAUAUUUAAAAUAUAUAUAUAUAUAUAUAUAUAUAUAUAUAUAUAUAUAUAUAUCAAAUGUUACCUUUAACACUUGAAAUCACUUGAAAUCCUUCAUACAAUAUCUUCUCAAGAAACAAAAAUUCUAGUUUUCCUUCUACAAAAAAAUGAUAUAAAAAUAUUAAUAAUAAUUUGAUAACAAAAGAUUAAAUUAUCUUAAUUUGAUUAAUAAUAAACUCAUAAAAAAAAUUCUAAAAUCUAAAUUUUAUAAAUCAUUACAUAUUUGUUAUAUUUAACAAAACAUUUCUACCUACAAAAUUUAUAUUUAAAUAAAAAAAAUAUCAAAUAUUACAUUUUACACUUGUAAUCACUUGAAAUCCUUCAUCUUCUUCAUGGAAUACAAAUUUUUUUCUUUUCUUCCUCAAAAAGUUUCAAACUAGAUCUUCAAAUUUGAUUUAUCAAAACACAUCCCACAUAUUUUCUAAUACGACAGUUGAAACUAUUUCAUUUUCAUAUUAAAUUAGUAUCCCUUUUCAUAUAUUUGAAUAAUGAGUGUAUAAAGGUAGUUGGUAGGAUUUUCUUUUUUUAGAUAAAUGUUAGGUAGUUCAUUAAAUAACAAAUUAUAUUUGAUAUUUAAUAAUAAAUUAUAAAAAAAGUUAUAAUAUUUAAAUAUGUAUGAGAUGCAUGCGAUUAUUUCUCACCAAUAGGUCAUCUUUACUGGUUUCAUAAGUUUUUAUUUUUUAUUUUUCAAUGACAUGUACUUUACACAUGUCAUGUUAUUAUUGGGGACAAAUGUAGGUAGGUACCUCCAAAAUAAAUAGUAGAUACCAAAAAACAACCUAUAAAACAAACAUAUACCUUACAAUGAAUCAAAAGGAACUUUUCCUCUUGACUUUUUGUAGGCCUUAACUUUUUAGUUACAUUCCUUCCCAUGCUAUCCUUUACACCCAACAUUGGGACAAAAGCAAUCUAAACGGGUCCAUUGAUUAACCCUAACACCACUCAAAUGUACAGGAAUGUAUUAGACUAGAAAGACUUAAAUUUGUAGUUCAGAUGAUUGUUGUUGACCUAAAUAAAAUUGGUGAAUUCGUUUUUGAUAAUAUUUAUCGAGACAAUGAUGUGUACCAUUUGUGAGUGAACUACAUAACAAAUGGUAUGUAUACCACAUUUUUAAUUACUAAUUCUUCAUUUUAUUUCAUUACAAUUUAGGUUGGACUAUUAUUGAACUUUUAGAGACAAGAAUUUUCUUAACAUGUGAAAUCAUUAUUUAUUAUUUUAGUGAUGCAUAUUAAUUGACUAUUCAUGCACCUUGUUCGUGGGUUUUAACAGUUUGUUUUUUUAUUUUUUUUAUUUCAAGUAUUUUACCUCUUGUUUUUCUAGAUGAAGGUUCAUAAGUUCUUUAGACUUGUUUAAUUAUGUAGAGGAACUAGUAUAUAAAUAAUCAAUAUAAAAUGUUACAAUUUCUUCUUAAAUCUAUGUUUCUAUAGUAAAAAGUUCAUCGUAAGUUUCUUUUAUAGCAAACUCAUACUCACUCAAGUAUUUAAGAGAGGUUAGUUUCUUAACAUCUUUAGUUAGAUCUUUUACAUUUUGGAUUCAUAUUGGACAUAAAAUCCAAGUAUUACACUUAUACAUUUUGGAUUCAUAUACUUAUAUUUUUUUUCCUUUCUAAACUGCAAUUAUAAGCCUUAAACUUAGUAUGAUUUUUUUUUCCAAAAUUUUAAAUAUGUUAUAUAUUUAACUUAAAUAUAUGUGAAGUAUGUCUAUGGAAAUUAUUAACAAUUAUGAGAACAUAUGUACAUUGCCCACCACCAUAUCAGGGUUUCAACUCCUAAUAACUCGUUGUAUAUGAAUUCGAGGUUAGUCUCAUCUUGCAUAAGGGUUUGCCUCAAAUCCAUUGCACAAUUGAACUCUAAUUCCCUUAUCUCCACUCUCGUGGCUUCUCAAUUGCACAAGAUAGUUAUCCACAUAUCACAAAAUUUAGUACACUUAGUGCAUUGACGAACCCUAAGAGAUGGAAUUGAAGCUAAGAAGGAAGAACACUACAAAAGAAAUGACUUUUGUUGUGAUAUUUUAGGUUUUUUGAGAGAAAAGGUCUUGAUUGAAUGGUUGGGUGCUUGAUAAAGUCAAGGGUCGUGUCAUAGAGGGAAAAUUAAAGACUAGAAAAUCAAGGAAAAUGUUGAUAUGAUAUUUUACUUUUCAGCUGGAGAAGAAAAGAAGAGAGAAGAGAGAGAAAACUAGAGAGAGAAAUAAAGAGUUUUAAUUGGUUUAUCUCAAGCCAUUAGAGAUGAUAGUGGAAAGAUAAAAAAUCAAAUAAAUAAAUAAAUUUUCAAAAAAUUUAUAAAAAAAUCCUUUGAAGACACAAGAGGUAAAAUACUCAUCGAUUCAAUAGAUCUAUGCUACUAAAUCCUAUAGCACUUGAUGCAUGUUAUAUAGUAACCUCACAUUCAACCGAAUGCAUUAGCUAACCUUGUCUACUUAGAAGCCUCAUCUUGAGCAGCUUUCAGAGUGAUAUAGUAGAAUUGACAAUCAAUGUAAAAGGGGAUAGAAAGCGCUAGGUUAGGUUAAGGUUUGGAGCAAGAAGCUUCAAACUCUAAGCUCUUUCAAGAUGGUCAUCAGGUUUUGAUAUGAUAAAGCGAGCAUCCUUAGAUAUGAUAAGCAACCUUGACAUAUAAUUUAAAUGAUGUAACUUGACUUGUAAAUUAUAAGUCAUGAUAGACUUAGAUAUUCUAUAAAAACAAUACAUUGACUUAUAAUUUUAAGUCAAGAUAAUCUCUCAUAAGCCAUGCUUAUCAUUUUCCAUUUACACAUAUGUCAUAAUUGCUUAUGGUUAAAUUGUACAAGUCUUUACUACCCAUUAAAAUAGCAUACCAUGACAUAUGCUUUUUUAAGUCUAAGAAAAUAUAUGUCAACAUAAGCAAAAUAAUAGGACAUUCAGAACCUAAGUUUCCUGCCCAAACUCUCUCUUGCCCGAGUGCCUAAAACAGUAGGAGACCAAAGAAAAUGGAAAAGUAACCUCGUCUUCAUCUCCAUAUCGAAACCAAACGCUAAGUUUCCUUGUUUUCUUCUCAAUUUGGGAAAUGAAAAAAACCCUAACCUGCCUUUACUUCCUCAUUGUAUGAAACCAAAAAAUCCUAAACUCUUUCUCUCAUUCUAAAACGUCUACACCUUGUUUUCUUUCAAUUUUGGAACCUAAAAAGCCCAAAUAAUAUUGAAGAAGGCUUAUAGGGUUGGAAUCUAGAAGAGACAGAAAGCGUGGUAAAUGGCCAGCUGGACUGCUAAUCUCGAACUCUCUUCCAUUCGCUAUGCCUUGCAGCUCAGUCCUCAGGGCCAAAAAUAAAAAAAAAUAAAAAAAUAAAAAAUCAGAUUGUUGUGACAGAGGAUGGCCUAGAGUGAGAUUGCUUAGGCAUGAAAAAACUGAGAAGCCUGGAAAACUCCUUUUCAAUAAUCAAUUGUUCUUCAUAAUUUUGGUUUUAUCAUGAUUUAUUAUUUAGAAAAUUUAAAAUAAAUCAAAUUUGAUCCUUGAUAAUUUACAUACAUAUGAGUAUCUUUAUUUUAUAUCUAUUAGAUUCAUUGUAAUGUGAAUUUUUGUGUUAUUGUAAUAUGAAUUUAGUUAUAUAUUAUUGUAAUCAUGGCGUAUAGGCUAUUCAUUUGAAUCAUCAUCUGACCAUAAGACAAAAGCUUAUUCACGAAUUCAAUUUAAUAAAAACUUUUAAUUUUUUUUUCUUGAGAACUUGAAAACUCAUUAAAAAUUUAAUAAAAACUUCUCCAUUCAUUUAGUUAAUUUUAUCAAAAAGGUUUAUAAAUGCACUUGUUUUAACAUUUUUUUUAUUUUAUAAAUUUGAACCUUAAGCCAUAACUUCAUGAUUCCCACCUGCUUUUAAGGUCUUUCUAAUGUUUGAUAUUGUAGGUUAAGUAGUCAAAGUCCUAUUGCUCGGGUAAGAAAUUUAUGCUCACGCACUACCAAUUGAGAAGAAAGAUUUCAUUGCUAAAAUGGGCUUCGGGGGAUUCAUCCAAUUAGCUUGCAAAGAGCUCAGUUAUGAACUAAUCUAGUGGAUCAUUGCCAAUUAUGACAUUGGCUACCACCCCACUUAUAUAUGGCCACAAGAAUUGUUGCCCUGGUAACUCUUGAAGAUGUGAGUGAGAUCGUAGGCAUCCUAACCAUUGGUGUGGACGUUGUUGUUCAUAAUAGGAGAGCAAUGACAAAUUGCACUUACAACAUGUAGUUGUUGGAAGAGAACCUCCAUAAUCUACCCAUUGGUGAGGAAUUCAAAAACUCAAUAGGAUGCAUGACUUAUGGGACACAAUUUGGGAUAGUGAUGUUGUUGUCCAGAAACAAUUAAGUGAAGUUUAUCCUACAAUUCCUAGAGGAUGGAAUCAAGGACUACCGCAAUAGUCACCCAACAUAUAUUAAGGGCUACAUGUUGUUCCUUCAGGUACAUCCUAUCAAUUUACACAAUGUUGCAAAACCAAAAGGAAUGUAAUAUUAGAUUUAGACAUACUAAUAUUAUUAUUAGAUGUUUUUCUAUUCACUUUGUUACAUACCAUUAAAAAUAACUUAGAAACUUGUUCAUGUUCACAUUCUAGUUGUGAAAUAUUUACGUUACCAGUCAUUGUGCAAAAAAAAAAGAAAAAAAUCAUAAGUUGAUCAUUAAGUUGUACUCCUUUAUGUUGUCCUUUGAUACAAAUGGAAUGUCAUUCAUUUAUUAAUCAACAUGUGUGUUACUCAAAUAAUAUAGCACACUAAAGUACUUAGAUUCGGGUAGGAAUUUAUGCAGUCCACUGCCUUAUCAUUUUAAAUGAUUGUAUAAUCUCAACAUCCAUUUGAAUGGACUGAGAUAGCACGAUAGGUGGCAUUCAUGAAGAGUGGACCCUACCAUUCAUUUUUAAUGUUGCUGAUUUUUUAAUUUCUCUUGUUACUCACUUAUAUUUUAAUCCCAUCUCUUAGCUUUUUUAUAUGGAAAAAUUUCGAAUGCCCUCGGUCGAUGUUCAAGUGACACGUCCGUGAGCUGCAGCAUGGAGAGAUGACCUUAUUAAAAAAUGAUUAGCCGGGAAAAUCCACAUGUUCAGCAGAUAUUGUCACUUGGAUGUAUGCUUCCAAGCCUCCCGUUGUUCUAUUAUGUAACACUUGAAUAACAACUUGGGCAUAAAUUAAUUUUCUGUUUUACUUCACAUGCAGUUGGUAAACCAAGAACAAAUGCCUUCAGAAAGUCAUUAUGGCCCUUGCUUUCGCUUUGGCAUGCAAUGUUGUGACACUCCACUCUAGGAAUUUUGUUGGCCCUCGCUCACAUACAUCACCACAUAUUGAAGGCGAAAAUGAUGAUGGCACAAAGAAUGACGACCUUCUCCCCAUGUGGUUGAACCACCUAGUGCAGCCAUCACUCCACUGUCUAUUUCCAUUAUGAAAAUGAAAAUGAAAUAAAAUGACUUUUUUAUUUUAAUAUAAGAUAUAAGAUUGAAAAACUCGCUUCUUAUUAGGAUUAACCCAUGGGAAUUUAUAAAUAAAAAUGAAAAGAGAUUAAUGAAGUGCAACUCCUUGAGAGUUGUGAUGAUGACGCCUUACACUACUACAAAAAUAAUUUAUGGUGUCACUAUUUAUGGUGUCACUUUUAAAAUAAUGACACCAUAGGGUUUAUAAUUAAUAAAGGUGACGCAUCAUAUAAAAAAUCUUCAAUUGAGGUAGUUAGAUGAUGUUAGUUUUAUAUUUAGAGUGUCAUUUAUCGGGAAGUGACAUCAUAUAAAAUAAAUUUUUUUAAGCAUUAUAACUUAAUGAGCCCACUUUUAGAAUUAAUAAUGAGGGAUAAUAUAUAAAAAGUCCAUUUCCAUAUGUCACCCACAAUCCAAAAAAUCUCAAUAUAUAAACCCUAUAUAUAAAACCAUAAUAUUCUUCUACCUUUCUCUCACCCAUAGUCAACACGCUCACAACCGGUAUUCUUCACUUUGUGGACUCCCAGGUAACCCAAAAUCUCUUAGAUCUAUCAUUUUUUUUCUUUUAUUAAUGUCAUUAUAUUAAUUGUUUCAACAUCUUUGUAUUAUGUUUUUUGUGAAUUAUGUUUUCUUGAGUUGUAGGGAAGAAAAACUUAGGUUUAAUCUUCUAGCAUAGAAGAAAAAAUUGUAGAUUAAUUGAUUUUUUUAAUCUAAACCAAACACAUGAUCAAGUCCUUAAAAAAAAGUGAAAAACAGGAAAAAAUGAAUGAUUUUUAAUGAGUAAAUUGUGUGAGAAUGAAGGUACAGAAAUCACUCAUAUAGUGAACAUUUCCUUGUUUGAAAUCAUUGUAUUUCUCCAUGUGAACCUUUCCGUCCAAUAUAACUAGCCUAAAGAAUGCUAGGUCAUUCACUGCUUCCAUCAUCUCUUUGGUGAUUCCGGUCUCCGCCCAUGGCCGGAGAUCCUCGUAGCUCCUCAGGAAGUAGUCCGGGCAUGCAUUACCGGAGAAAGGGUGCUGUUUGGUUGAGAUUGUAAAUUUGUGCUUAACAAGAUCGAAACCCUCUCAUAUUUGUCAGAUCGAAAUUCAAACUGACCGGUGUUGGGAUUAUUGUUUGCAGCCUCUUCUACUGGCUCUUGAUUUAGCCUCCGCGAAAGUCAUGGAGUUAGCGCUGGAGUGGUUGUUCAAGUUGUAUUCGCUGGGGCUGAUCCACGACGUGAUUGAUGGGAAGGGGAUUGAUUACUACUCAAAAAGUGCUAUUUUAUAGUUUGUAAUCAACUCUUUUAAACACUUUUGAGUAGUAGUUAUUACCUUUUAACUCAAUUGACAUGUUAAGGACCCUUUCAAUCAUUUCUAAUCAAAUUGUGUUAAGUUUUGGUGUUUUUGAUAGUUUUUUUAUCACCAAAGCAAUCUAAGAUGAGGGAGAGCUCUAUCUAAUCUAUGGCAGAGCAAAUGGAAGCUCAUUUAUAGGAAGAAUCCAAGCUUUGGAGCUUUGUAGUCCUUUGCCAAAAGCAAAUCAAGAAUGCAAGGAGGAAAAACAGAGAGAGGAAUCUAACAUGAAGAAAUUCAAGAGGACAGAAGAUGUAGGAUAUAUUUCGAGCAUUUCCUAGAGUCCAUUUUAGAUAUACUAUAUGUUGUUUCAAAGCUCGGGAAGUCAGAAAUCCAACGCUUCAAACAGUGUGCAAAUUGGAGCUGAAAUGAAGAAAUUAUGGCCAUUGGAAGACAAUCGCGCCUAGUUGAAAGACAAUUUCACAAGUUGCGAAAUCACAAUAGUCAACUUGCGAAAUCAAGGUCCAACUUGCGAAAUCCACCUGUGUACUCCUAGAUAUUUGCGACCGACUCUUUUAGAUUUUUUUCUUCAGAUAUUUGUUGUUUAAAUCCCUAUUUUCUCAUUGUAAUCCACCAAUCAUAGGAUUCCUUAGUUAGGAAGUAAAAAGGAAGGGUGAAUAACCUUUCUAUACAUCUAUUGUAAUUUUUCUUUUUAAAAAGAUCUCGGGAGUUUUUUUUCUCAAAGACCAACUUUUGUAUAGUUUUGAAGAAAGUAAUAUACAGAGCUUUGCUCUGCCUUACCUACUCAUUUUGAUUGUAUUUUUCUCACUAGCCAAACAAACUCUGAGGAUGUUUCCUCAGAGGAUGAGUGGCUAGGCUUUUUGUUUCUUGGAGUGAAGGAAGCUGGGUAAGGUUCUGAAUGCAAAAAUUGGAAGUUUUGUUGUUUCAGCUUUUAAUGAAGAGAAAGUGUGACCCGUUAAUGGUUUUUAUGUUUUUAGUUAACUUAAAACGCCUUAAAAUCACCUGGGCCAACACUUGGUAAGGCAACUGGACUCCGUCCAUUGAGUUACACUAGUUUAUCUCUUGCAAGCCUUUAGGAGGUGGUUUAAAGGUAGGAUUUUCUAGAAUAGCCAACACUUGGUAAGCUUUUGGACUCUAAGGAGACAUUCAUUAGUUAUCUCUUGCGAGCUUUUGACGGGUAAUCCAAGGUUAAGAAUCACCUUGAAUGGCCAAUACUAGGUGAGAGGUAUGAACCAUUGCAAGAUGAUCCAGUGACAAGGAAUUAGUGUUUGAAUCCAUAAAAGGGAAGCAUUUGUACCACACCGAUUCGGGAAACAACUAUAUGUUAAAUCCCCAAUGCGAUGAAAAGAUUCAAGUGACCGGAACUCUCUUUUUGUAAUAGGAACUUGAGCCUAGUGAUCUAAAAACUCCAAGAAACACUUUUCUUUGUAAGUAAUUUCCAUUAUUAUUGGUUUCACCUAAAAACCAACCUUUUCAAACAUCUUUAUGUUUUCUUUUAAAGCUAACAGUGAAAAGAAAAAGCACCAAUUCAUCUUUGAAUUAAUAUUAGUUGUAAUUUGAAAACCCAUCCCAGUGAACAAUCUUAGAGCCACUAUGCUAUGCUAGCUAAGGCUAUCCUAGUACAUGGUGAAAUAGGUUUAUAAAUUUUGUUGAUUACUCCCGUCUGAGGACCUAAAUCAAGGUACACCAGUUGAUUGAACACCAAUUAACAGGACAUACACCAACUGGGCACGAAUCAGGGAUGAUAAAGGCGAUGCAGAAAUCGGCUAGGAGCGGCGAGGACGCGAUCGACCUCGCCGUGCUUAAGGUUCUUCCCUCUGUGGUUCGAUCACCAGUGGUGGAAGUUCCGAAUGGGUCUGAAUGUGAUGGAAAAAUAUUGAAUAGAUUUUGAUUUCGUGAUUUCUUGAUUUCUUGAUUUCGUGAUUUCAUGAUUUCUUGAUUUCUUGAUUCCUGCACUUAGAAUACCAAUUCCAUACCAUUACAUUGAUUUCAAACAAAAAAACCCAGAUUUUUUUCAAUUUUCUCCAUUAUUUUGAAAAUCAACCAUCAUUUUCUUCUUUUAUGACUUCUAGACCUGAGAAUUUCCUUAGGUAUGUAGGUAAGGACCGUGUGGUUUCUCCAUUGGUACUACCUUGAAAACGCAAUUUCAAAGUGCAAUGACUCGAGUCAACAUAACCUUUGAAUUGCCCCACCUUUGUGGGGACUUGGGCAUUUACUCACGGAAUCACUAAAAUAGAAUUGUCUUUUCAAAUUUUAUUUUAUUUUAUUUUUCUACAGGCUAGCUAGAAAUAUCUAUGGUUGGAUUUAAUUUAUUUGUACCUUAAUUUAGGUGAUAUUUGUUAAAACUAACACUUAGAAAUUAAAUUCCAAAAAUACCCCUGAAUCAUACCGUGGGGAGCGAUGCCCCCCCGUACCCCCCCAACUCAGGCAUUUGCUCAUUUUUCUCCAUAUUUCUUUCACUCAAAUAUGAGCCACAUGCAACAAUAUCAAACCUUCACACAAUUAUUGGUUUAUUAAGGAUGAGAGUGAAAAACUCAUAUUUAAUACAUUUGCCAAUCAGGCUUGUAUUUCUAUGGUUGUGGGCAAAUAUGACCCAUUACAAUAACAUGGCAAGUAGAAGUCUUAGAUGACCAUCUUCAUCAACCUUUUACUUUAUCCUAACAUGAUUAUGAUGUCAACCAAUUACAUACUUAUUAAUGAACUCUUUGGAAAUGAUAAGCUAGAAAUAUUUAUUUCAAAGUGGGGCCAUUCCUCUCACCAUGAGAUACAUAACCCAACUACCCAAAUCCCAUGUAUGGUGGUUUUCACAGUAAAAAAAAUGACUCAAAAACUUUCAAUUCAAUAUAUAGUCUGAUAUAAUAUUUUUAUAAAUAUUUUGGACUAAAUUAUGAAUUUAUGGUCCCACGCGGCUUCAACUACGGAUAGGUCUAUUAAUGCAAACAAAAAGACUAGUACUUUUGAUAAAUUUUAGUAUUUAUAAAUUAAAAUUUUAGUACUUAAAUUUAAUAUUUGUAAAUUAUAUAAAUGACUUUCAGCAUGUAAUAUAUAUAAAUACACAUGUUCAUACUUGAAAUAUUGCAUUUUUUUGGAUUAUUAGUUUAAUUUAAUGGAGAUGAAUAUUUAGUUGAAAAGUUACAAUGUAUUAUUGAAAAUAUGACUUGAUAGUUGAUUAUGGAUAUGUGUCAUUUUUAGUAUAAAAAAAAAAAUUAAAUCUGUAACAUUUUAUAUUGAUAAUAUAUUAUUUUUGUAACAGGUUCAAAUAGUAAGCAAUUCAUUAUCAAAGAAGUCACUGAAAGUGUAAGUGUAUGUUUAUUUAUUGCAUGCUCUUAUAUAGUAUCAAUUUUAAGGAAGAUAAAAUUACCUUGUAAAGGUAAUUAAAUCUUUAUAUAUUUUAAUUUUUUUUCUAUAUAUUAUGCUUUUGAAGCUUGUUUAAUUAAACAUAUUAGUUAUUUGACAAACUUUUCACAAAUGUUUUGUAUACUUAUGUGUUUUAUUUUGUUACAAAGUUUUAUGCAUAAUACUUAUGUAUAUUUUUUCACAAACUUUUUACAACUAUUUUGUGAUUUAAUGCAUAUUAAUUUUUGUUCUUGUCUAUAUAAGCUACAUUUAGUUAUUUAAAUAUAUCCAAUAUUAUGUUGAAGAAAGAUGUACUUAACUUUUUUUGUUCUUAAUAUUAACAAGUUUUGCAGUUCUCUUGUUUAGGAUAUAUAUUCCAUUAUUUUAAUUGAAAUGGAAAAUCGAGAAUGGAUGUCAAAAGAUAGAAGGUCAGUUGAGUAUGAUGAAGGAGUUGAAAACUUUAUCAAUUUUGCAUUAGCACAUUCAACCAACCAUACCUCUAUCAAAUGCCCAUGCUUAUGUUGUGGAAAUCUAUUAUGUCAAACUCCUUAAGUCAUUAGAGAACAUUUGUUCUUUAAUGGAAUAGAUCUCAGUUAUCGAGUAUGGUAUUGGCAUGGAGAAAAGGGUCCCAGUGAAGGAUUUUCAAAUGUCUCACAACAACGUUAUGACAAAUGCGAGUAUAAUGAUGUUGCUGACAUAAUAGAUAUGGUUAAUGCUGCACAAGUUAAUUGUAUGAAUGAUUCCCAAGCAUUUGGAAGGUUACUUGAAGAUGCAGAAAAACCUUUAUAUCCUGGAUGCAUGAAAUACACAAAGUUGUCAACAUUAGUAAAACUUUACAACUUAAAAGCACGUUAUGGUUGGUCUGACAAAGGAUUCUCAUAAUUGCUUCAGUUGCUUGGAGAUAUGUUGCCAUUGAAUAAUGAGAUGUCGUUUUCCAUGUAUGAAGCUAAAAAGACUUUCAGUGCUCUUGGUAUGGAAUAUCAAAAAAUUCAUGCAUGUCCUAAUGAUUGUAUUUUGUAUAGAAACCAGUAUAAGGAUGCUAUUGCAUGCCCAACUUGUGGAAAGUCAAGGUGGAAGAUAAACAAUGAGGGGAGAAAGAUUAAGAAGGGGGUUCCUGCAAAGGUUUUGUGGUAUUCUCACCAAUCCCUAGAUUCAAAAGGAUGUUCCAAUCCUCAGAAACCGCUAAGCAUCUUAUGUGGCAUGCCAAAGAUAAAGAAUAUGAUGGUAAACUACGCCACCCAUCAGACUCCUUAGCGUGGAAACUAGUUGACCAUAUGUGGCAUGAUUUUGCUUCUGAACCGCGAAACCUUAGACUAGCACUCUCAACAGAUGGUAUAAAUCCUUAUAAGUCUAUGAGCAGUAGACAUAGUUGUUGGCCUGUUAUAUUGAUCAUAUACAACCUUCCUCCUUGGUUGUGCAUGAAAAGGAAGUUUAUGAUGCUAUCAUUAUUGAUCUCAAGACCACGACAACCUAGUAAAAAUAUAGAUGUUUACUUGAGUCCAUUGGUGGAUGACCUUAAAACUUAGUGGGAAAAAGGAGUUGAGACUUAUGAUGCACACUUGCGUGAGGUUUUUACUUUAAAGGUCAUCCUUUUAUGGACAAUCAAUGAUUUCCCUGCAUAUGGAAACUUAGCUGGUUGCACUAUGAAAUGAUAUUAUGCAUGUCCAACAUGUGAAGAAGGAACAUGUUCCAAAAGAUUAAAGCAUAGUAGGAAGAACUCAUAUAUGGGUCACCGACGAUUUCUUCCACGUAACCAUCCCUAUCAUAGACAAAAGAAGGCAUUCAAUGGUGAACAAGAUUUUAGGAUUCCUCCUAAAAUUUUGAGUGGGGAAGAAAUACUUGAAAAAGUUGAUCUCAUUCCUAUAUCUUAGGGAAAAAUGAAGAUAAAAUCUCUUGAAUUUGAUGUGAACACAAAUUGUUGGAAAAAAAAGUCCAUAUUUUUUUAGUUAGAAUAUUGGAAAUAUCUUUAUGUCCGUCAUAACUUGGAUGUUAUGCACAUUGAAAAGAAUGUCUAUGAGAGUAUUAUUGGCACUUUGUUUAACAUCCCAAGGAAAACAAAGGAUGGACUUAAUGCUCGACUUGACCUAGUUGAAAUGGGUUUAAGCUCUGAACUUUUCCCAAGAGUUGACUUGAAACAGACCUACCUUCCUCCUGCAUGUUAUUCACUAUCCAAAAAAGAGAAAAAAUUAGUUUGUCAAAUGUUGUCUAAUUUGAAGGUCCCUGGGGGGUAUUGCUCAAAUUUUAGAAAUCUUGUCUCCUUAGAGGAAUUGAAGUUGUUUGGUCUAAAAUCUCAUGACUACCAUGCACUUAUGCAACAACUGUUGCCAGUGGCAUUACAUUCUGUUUUGCCAAAACAUGUGAGAUAUACUAUAUCAAGAUUGUGUAUCUUCUUCAAUAAAUUAUGUACAAAAGUGGUUGAUGUGCCAAAAUUGAAUGAGGUACACAAUGAGUUAGUGGUCACGUUGUGCUUACUUGAAAAGUAUUUUCCACCUUCAUUUUUUUGAUAUUAUGCUUCAUCUAACAGUGCAUUUGAUAAGGAAGGUGCGACUAUGUGGUCCAGUUUACUUUAGGUGGAUGUACCCAUUUGAGAGGUAUAUGAAAUUUCUUAAAGGAUAUGUUCGCAAUCAUAAUCGCCCUGAAGGAUGCAUUGCUGAGUGCUAUUUAGUAGAGGAAGCUGUCAAAUUUUGUACUGAAUAUUUAUCAGGGACUCAUGCAAUUGGAAUUCCAAAAAGUAACAAUUAUGACAACAAAUUUGGUAGACCUAUAACUGGUGGUCGUUCUACCAACAUUGAUCAUAAAUUGCGGUUAUAGGCACAUCAUUAUGUGUUAGAGAAUACAACUAUUGUCCAGCCAUACAUUGAGUAAGAAAAGUAUACCUUUAUUUUUUUUUUUAAUUUCAUAACAUAAUGAUGAAAUCCUAAGUUUGUAUUCCUUGUCUAUAAUGUUAUAGGGAACACAUGAAUUGGUUGAAGUCUCAAUACCCUCGACAAUCUAAGAGACAAAUUUGGUUACAAGAAGAACAUAUGCAUUGUUUUACAUAUUGGCUUAAAGGAAAGGUAUUCUCUUAGUUUUCAGAAAUUAUUUUAAUAUGUUGAAAACACCACAAGUUUCCAAUUAUGUUUUGAUUACACAUAGGUUGAAGAGGCUAUCCAUAAUGGGCAAGAUAUUCCCAACACGCUUAGGUGGUUAGCACAUGGCCUAACUCACCAGGUAGUCAAAUAUCUUGGAUAUAUCAUUAAUGGGUGUCGUUACCAUACUAAGGAACGCGAUAUGACAUGCGUCACCCAAAAUAGUGGUGUUAGCAUUUUAGCAGGGACUAUGCAAAUUGUCAGUUCUAAGGAAAAUAACCCAGUUUUUGGUGAACUUUGCUUUUAUGGGGUCGUUAAUGAGAUAUGGGAUCUUGAUUACAACAUGUUCAAAAUUCCAAUUUUCAAGUGUGAUUGGGUUGACAACAAGAAUGGUAUAAAAGUUGAUGAACUCGGGUUCACAUUAGUUGACUUCUCCAAAAUUGGUCACAAAUAGGAUCCAUUUAUUUUAGCAUCACAAGCCAAGCAAGCCUUCUAUGUUGAAGACCAACUUGAUCCCAAAUGGUCAAUAGUUCUCUCAAUUCCUCCAAAAGAUUUCAACAAUAUGGAAGGACUGGAUGACUUCACCGAUAAUUGCAUGGAACAUCACCCCUUUAUAAGUUCAAUGCCAGAAGUUGAAUCAUUUGAUGCUAUGGAUGAAUCAGAGGCAAUAUACAUGAGAGAAGACUGUGAGGGCAUAUGGAUUGAAAAAAAUUAAAUAAUAUAUUAUACCCUUGACAUGAGAUAUAAUAAGGCAUUUCACUUAUUAGUUUUCAUGAGUUGCACAUUAGCUUAGCUUCUAUAUAUUGCUCAUGAUAUAUAUAUAUUGAUCAUCCUAAAUUUCUUUCAUGCAUCAUAAACAUGUAUUAUUCAAAGGUACCACUUCAAUCUUCAUUUAACUAUCUUUUUUGUUGUCCAUGGAACUAGAUUUAUAUUAUUUUUUGUUAUCAUGUUUUGAUUUUAUGCUCACAUAACUUGAAACUCUCAUUCCUAAAUUUCUUUUUCAUUAAAACUAUAAAUAAUAAUUGAAACUAUAUAUGCACUAAUUUAUUUUAUUAUUAUCCUCACAAAUAAAUUCUUCAUUAUUGAUAAGAAAUAAAAAAACAAGACAAACUUUGAAAGAAAAUUUCAAAAACUAUAUUUCUGAAUGACCAAUUUAAUUAUAGGAAAUAUAUGCAAGGCUAUACUAAUCUUGCUUUUGAGUCAUUUUACAGGUUUGUUGGUGAAGUACUAGUUUGCACAUUUACUUGAUAUCUUCCACACAAAUAUGGAUCUAGAAGAAGAGGAAAUGCCAAAAGUAAAGCAUAGAGGUAGUACAUUGAAACCAGAGAUUGCAAAAAAUCGAAGUAAAGGGAUAAAGCUCAAGAUUGAAUACAAUAGCCUUGGUAGUCACAUUGGGGAAAAUUCAAUUGAACUAAGUAGUUAUCUUGGUACAAUAACUAAAACCCAUGUGCCAAUAAUUAUUGAGAGUUGGAGGAAAGUCCCUAAAGAGACUAAGGAGAAGUUAUGGGAUUUGACCAUGGUAAGUCUAUCUAUAGCUUUCAGAUAUAAUUAUUGUGUACAUUCAUUAACAUGAGCUAAUAUGGGUUGCUAUUUUCUAGACAAGCUUUAAUGUGAAUCAAAAUUCCAAGAGGAAUUGUUUCCUACUAAUGGGCAUCAGGUUUCGAACCUUUAAGUACAAGUUGACAAAGAAAUAUAUAUGGCCUUUCAAGAAUGACCCAGAAAAGCUGAAAAAGCCACCUCCUAUCUACCCAUUCAUACAAGAGGAUCAUUGGAGACAAUUUGUUAAAGAUAGACUUUCUGAAUAUUUUAAUGUUAAGCAUUAUUUUUAAUACAUCUUCAAUUUUUACAUUUAGAUAGUUUUACCAUGUACUAAUUUUGUGUCUAUAUUUUGUAGGAAUAUCGUAAGGUUCAGAAAUCUAGAAGAGAUAAACACAUUUACAAUCAUUAUCCUGGAAGAAAAGGAUAUUCACGUUUUGAGCAGGAUAUAGUAAGUUAUCAAUAUCGAUAAAAAAAAAUGGAGUAUAUAUUUUGUUUAUAGGAAAAUUAUUCCAAUUUUUAAAUGUCAUUUAUUAACUUGAUCAUAUUGAACUAAUGAGUUUUCUUGUUAAAAUUUUUAUAGCUACAAGCAGAAGGGGGUAUUGGUAGGGUUGAUAGAAGUGUUUUAUGGAAGAAAGCACGUGAGAAGAAAGAAAAGUUUAACAAGAUUACAGAGCCAGUGAUUAACAUGAUAGUAAAUUAGCAUAUUUAUGCCCUUUUAGAGCCUAUAGUGUUAGUAUGUCUAUGUGACUAUGGUUUGUGAUGAUAUCGUUAGGUGUUAAUAGGCAAGAGGCUUAAUGCUAUCAUUUUUAUGAGUAGUUAUGUUAUACAUCAAUUUGUCUAUUAUCAUUUAUAUUAAAACAAUUCAUUUUUUGGCUACCUUGAAUUGGUUGUCUUUGAUUGAUAUGUAAAUCAUCUUCAUCAAAUUAUUACUAAUAUAUGUUUUGUUGUAGGAUGAAUUACUAUAAAAGGCUAAGGAGACUGGACUACCUCCACCUGGUCCAAAUGACAUAUUAUGUCAGGCAUUGGGUAAGCCUGAUCAUUCAGGACGUGUGGUAGGUCAAGACAGUUUGGUUAGGCCCAGCUCAUACUUUCAUCAACCAUCUGAUGACAUGAAAAAAAUCAAAGAAGAAAUAUGGCAAAUGGUACGAAAGGAGAUGAAAGAUGUUGCAACAAGACAAGUUAUGUCUCCCCCCACACCCCAUUCUGAUAUGGGUAGUAAUAACAUGAGACAACAACUUGUUUUACAACCAAUUGUAGCAGAAAAACCAAUGUUUAAAAUGAUAGAAGAGCCCUAACCACCAGAACCACCACUGAAACACAAGGUAUGCAUUUACUUACUAAUAAUACAAGAUUAAUAUAAGUGAUAUAAAGCGUAUGUAAAUGAUAUUAUUUGUUGUAUUGAAGGUAAUUAAAUGUAAAUUAGCAGUGGAAAGAAAAGGAAAUGUUGUUGCAACUAGUACACUAAUAGAAGAAAAAUGAUCGAAUAGGUUGGUUGUAAUAAAUGUUGCACACAAGCCAGAUGCUAGACUCCCAUUUCCAAAUCCAUAUGAGAUUAUCAAUGUUGGGGAUGCUAUUGGCUUUGAGCUUGACUGGCCAACAAGCCUUGUCAUACUUGAAACUGAACAUCCUUAGGUAUGUCAUUUUAUGCCCUAUAGUAAAUUUGAUUGUAACUUGGUAUUUUAUUGUUUAGGAGUAUAUAUAUCUAACAUUCCUUCCUUUUUCAUAGGUGCUGGAUAAAGGAAAGAAGAAGGUAGUGAAGACACCAAUUAUUCGAAAAUCUAAGCCUCAAAAUCAUUCGGUCAUUAAAAAUUUUCAGAAAUUUGUGGAUGGUUGUCUUGGUAAUGACAAGACAUACCCAAUACAGCUCCCCAUUUCACUAUUUGGUGUUGAAUUUCAAACAUAUAUAUCUAGAGAGGAUUGUGACUACAUUAUUUCAUCUUUAGAGGUGUCAUCAAACUACAUCUCCUUCUAUUUAUGGUGUGCACCUUUUAUUUUCAUUUGUUAUUAUUUUUUUAAUAUGAGUUGCCCAUUUUGAACGAGAUUGGAUAUGACUAAUGAUAAUUUUCUUUUGGUGUUUUGAUACAAUAAUAGGCACAUGCAUGAUCAACUACAUAUUUCCAAAAAGAAAUCACAAUUUAUAUUUGUUAAUCCUUUUACAAUAUCACGAGCAUGCUUUAGUACUCCUCAAAUAGAAAAAAGAGCACAAUUGUUGUCCAAACGCUUAAUGAAGUGCCAAGAUGUUAAAUAUGUUUUCAUACCCUACAACCCUGAGUAAGUGACGAAUAUUAUAAUUUAAUUUGAGGUUUUAUGAUUGAUUUAUAUUUCUAAUUAGAUGCUACUUUUGUUUUUAAUGUUUUAGCUUUCAUUGGGUCUUGGUAGUGAUUGAGCCAAGGAAAAUGAUAGUCCACUAUCUUGACCCUAUGCAUCACAAACCAUGUGAGGACUUAAAGGAUAUCGUAAACAUGUAAGUUCUUCCUAUUAUUUUUCGUAGUAUUAUUUUUUUAUAAAAAAAAAUACAUUCAACUCAAACACAUUUUUUUAUUAUUUAUAUAUAUGUUAAAACAUAUAACAUUUACCUAUUUUAAAAAUGUACCCAUUGAACUUAUUUACAUAGGGUUUUCGUAUAUCUGCAAAGAAAAUAUCUAAGAGGGAGCCAUCUUGGCAACUAGUGCAGGUGACAUCCAAAAAAUUUUCUUUACACAUUAGCUUAUGCAUUUGCAGCAUUUAUAUAUAUGAGUACUAAUGUUAUUUUAUAAUUGAUCGAUUAGUGUCCAAUACAAGAAGGAGGGUUCGAAUGUGGCUACUUUGUUAUGAGAUUCAUAAAAGAUAUAAUUUUUUAUCCUACAAUUAUUGCUUCAAAGGUAUUACAAAUUUAAUGAAUUGUACAUAGUUUUAGGUUUCCAAAUGUUAUGCAUUUUAAUGUUAUUUUCUUAUUUGAUUUCAGUUUUUUGAAUAAUGUUUCUAUUUGAAAAAAAGAAAAAAAAAAUAGUUCUUAGAUUUGUUCAUUUAUGAUAACAUCAAUCCAUGUUUAUUUUCUUCAAUAAAAAUCUAAAAAACUCAUUAAACUAUGAAAUGUAGGUAUACACUUUUGGGAUGGUGGAAUGGAGAAUAAAAAGAAAGAAGAAGGCAACAAGAUUUUGGGUUUUUAAAUGCAACUCUUAUGUUAUGUAGGACAUAAAUGUUACUUUAAUUGGUACUGAGAAAUUUAGAUUUUUAGAUGGGACUUUUAUGUCAUUUUAUAGUUAGUCGGUUUUAUGCUUAUGAAAUGGAGGUAUACAUGAAUCUUGGGAUCUUUAACAUUUCUAAAUCAUGUUUUGGUAUGUAUUCACUCUUCUUUUUUUUAGUUUUGAUGGGUUUGAUAUGUUGGAUGUACUAUCUUUUUGUGAACAUUUGAUUUACAAAUAUUAUUAGAUGAUCAAUGUAUUAUGAGUUAUUCCAAAAACAUUACAGAAAAAUGAGUUAAAUAUAAUAUGAUUGUUAUAUUUAUGGAAAAAAUAUAAACAAGUUAAUCUUACUUAUUAAUUCAUAAGCAUUACAAAAAUCUAUAACUAAAAGCAAUCAUAUCUUCCACAAUAAUUUAUAAUGAUGUGACACCAUUACUCAAAGGUGAUGCAUUUAAUGUGACAUCAUAACUCAAAGAUGAUGAAUUUAAUGCCACACCCUAUCAUCACUAGAAAUAUAUGGUGUCACUUCCGAAUGGGUCACCAUUUAUCUACUUUGGUGUCACUUCCAAAUAUGUCACCAAUUGGUACCCUCUAUGGUGUCAAUGAAGAAGGUGAUGCUAUGUUGUAGUGACACCCUAUGUUUAUGGUGACUAGUUAUAAAUGUCACCAUAUAUCUUUUUCCUUGUAGUGUUGCCAUGUUUACCAUUGGUAGGUAGGUAAGAAAUAUCCCCUUGUUUAUAUGAAAUCCCUAAACAUUGACAUGUAAAUUAUAGUCUUUUUUUUAUAUAAAAUAUGAUGUUAUGUGAUAAUAUAUUGGAUUGCUUUCACUUAUUUUUUUAGGGACUCUUCUUUAAAAAAUGAUUUUAUAAAUAUAAAAAAUAAUUAAAAAUAAAGUUCUAUGAACUACUUCUAAAAAAAUGAAACACUUAAAAAUAUAAAAAGUAUGUUAAAAAUAUUUUAAGUUCUCAAAUAAAUUUUUAUUUUAAAGAAUAUUAUAGAAUUGUUUUUAAAAACUGUUAUUAUAAAUAUUUUUUUUGGACACUCUUUUAAAAAAUAUCCUCAAAUAAACCCUGAGUUACACCUUAUUCUUUUCUUUCCUUUUAUUACAUUAUUAAAGUGAUGUACAACAAUUGUGCUCUAAAUCCAAACAUUUAAUUAAGUUUAAUUACAUGAGUUCAUGUCACGAUCAAACUCAGAGGUUAGUAGGAUACCAUAGUGUCAUUUCACAUGUGUAACUCAAAGGCUUAACAUGAAAAUAACUUUACUAAAAUAAUUAGCAACAUGUUAAUUAAAAAGCAUGCCUAAAAUAGUAAUUAAGUUUACCAAAAAGUCUUAACUAGAAAUUUGUCUUCACAAAAAAAAAAAAAUCUAUAAUUCCAAAUUAUGACAAUUUUCCCAAAAGUAGUAGUAAAGUUAUUAAAGUCCAAAUAAACUAGUCCUAAAACUAAACAAAUAAAAGAACUUCACAAGCCCUUUCUACCGAUGUCACUCUUUAUUCUUAGAAUCAAGUGUACCUUAAAAAAGGAGUGAGCUCAAAAGCCCAAUAAAGGAAGAGAUCAAGGACAUUUAUUUAUAUAAAAAAAAUGAAAUAGAGAAUACUUGUAACAUGAGUACAAUCAUAUGAAAUAAACUUAUAUUACAUGUGUUAUCUUCAAAAAAGUAUCAGAUCGAAUUUUUUAAUAAACAUGCAUAUAUUCAAUACAAAAUUCUGGUUGUUGAGAGAAGUGUCCAUCAUAGUGGGACUUCCAAAGAUGCCUAUUAUAGUGGAACUUACAAAAGUGGGUAGCCAUGUUCUUUAUAUGUUGGUGGGCAAAACCUAAACCAAUGUAAUGAUACACUAUAAGUUAGUAACUACCUUACUAACUGGGUUUUAAACCAUUAUUACCUCCACCAAGGGUAAUAAAGGUCACUACCUUUUUUCUUUAUUGACUAGGGUCAAAUAACUAGAAUGCACAUGUAAAGUAAAAAUAUAAUCAAAUCCAAAUAAUUUUCAAUUUUGGUAUUUUAAACUUAUCUAAACAUUUUCUAAAAUUCACUGAACAUUUAAAACAAUAAAAAAAAUAUAUAUUAAAUAUAUUUCAAUAUUCCCCUAUACCAAAAUCAAUUCAUAUAGGGAAACAUUCAAUUUUAAUUACUUAGGUUAACUUAAUUUAUUUUUCUUGAACAAUUAUUCAAAUUUCUUUCCUAAGGAAUUUUAGUCUAAUAUUUUCUAGCAUCCAAGCAUCUAAAUUAUUUAUUUAACCUUUUAUUAAGAUUAAUUCUUCUAUACCUUAAAAUCACACUAAAAAUACUUCUACAACCUAUAGGGUAUAAAAAAAAUACCUAUUACUCUCAAACAACAUCAUAUUAUUUUCUAACCCAAAAUACACUUACAUAAAUUUUCAUAACCACUUGUACUAUUUAUAAUGCUUCCUCAUGAUAGUUCUAUAGUCUCCACAUCCAGUGUGCCCUAUGAAUUCACCCACAACAACAAAACAUCAAAGGGCAUAAGAUUUGAUUUUAUCACUAACCCUUUUUUUUUUUUAACUCUUUAAAAAGAAUAAAAGCACAGAUAUGCAAGAUAUUUCCACCAAAUUCAAACUUUCAUUCACACUGAUUUAUUUAUUUGCAUAUUUUUCUAUUAAUUAUUUAUUUUUCUUUUUCUAUUUCUUUGUGAAACCAAAAUAACAAUUAUAUUAUAGGGAGAAGGAAUAUAAGUUGAAAUGAAACUUUUACCUGAAGUUUUCUUUGGAAAAAGAGAGAUAACUUCUCCUCUUCACUUUAGAUCUAAAAGAUAAGAACUGUUGAAAUUUUUUUACUUAUUUCCCUUUUUUGUUUGUUUCUUUUAUGUGGAUGGGCUUGAAGAGAUUUAAAGACUUUAUGGAGCCGUCAAUGGUAUUGACUUGUUGUAUAUUCAACUUUGAAUUUGAAGGAUGCGAUGAAUUAUAAAAUUUAAAUUAUUGCAUGAAAGUAUAAAUAUAAAGGAAUAUGAUAUAAAUAAAUAAAUUGAAAAUAAAAAAUAGGAUCAAAAUAUAAAAUAAUAAAACUACAAAAUAAUGAAAUCUAAUUAAAAAACAAUAAAAUCAAAAUGAGAAAAUAUAAUAUCAUAAACAUGGAAUAUGGCAAAUAUGGAAAAGGUGCUCAACUAUAAUAUCAUAAACAUAUCUAAUAAUAGCCUUUAUGAUAUCUGGAAUAUGACAAGUUUUUGUCUUGUUCAUGUUACAUGUUUACCAACCAAAAAUACCCUCAGGUGUUUUCUCCAUUUUUAGUAAACCCUUAUGAUUUUCUCAAGGAAAAAGAAAUUGGCCUUCUUCCAGGCAGCCAUGAUGCCGUAACAAAAUUAAACACCCAUAAGGAAUCACAAUUCUAAUCCCUAAACAAUGGUGUGGUGAAUGGGACGGUGUAAUGUGUGAAAAUGGACGCUCCGUAUAAAAACCUGUGGAGGAAUUGAUGAUUUCAAGGAAUAUAGUUAGUACUAUCUCAACUAUUAACCACCUGCUUUGCUUGUUUGUUCUUGUUUUCUAUCUGCUUAUCAAAUACAAUCAUGCACGGAUCUAGGUGGUUUGUUUAUCAUCUGUAAUACUUAUCUUCUAUUACAGUUUGUUUCCAUUGGAAGAAGACUCUUCUGUAAUUACUUUAUGAUGUGUCAUGAUCAGAUUUGUUCUUUGAGUGGUGGCUGAGAUGUGUCAUGAUCAAAACAUUCCUCUCGCACUUUGGAAGCUCUUAAAUAACAAACACACUUUAAAGCUCUUCUAAACACAAACUUCAGUACCACCAAUGGCUCCUUCGUCUGGAGGUAUGCUGUUGGGUUUAACAUCUAGCUUUUGAUGCUGUAAGUUUAUUUUUAUGAAUGAUCUACCUUCCUUUGUUGGGUUUAAAUUAUGUCAGACAAUCAACAGUGUGAUUUCUCAUUGCAAUGAGUUAGUUUUGAUUGCUGGAUUUUAUUCCUAUUCUGUCAAGUGAGGCUCUCAGUAUUUUGAAGAGCUUGAAAUAAAUAACCCUUGCAUUUUAUGUAUCUUUUUGAAUUCUUCCAAGUACAUUGUAGAUUCCUUUCGGUAUAUAUAAAAUGUGAGUGUUUUUUAAAUUAUUGGUCCAAAUGAAGAAUAAUUAUGAAAUUAGAAAUUAUUGAAGUUGGUUAUGCUGAUAAAAUUUUGCUAUCCACUUAAACACAAGAACUUUUAUGAUCUUACAUUCACUUUCAUAUGAAAAAUGUUGUAGCGUUUUAGAAGUUAAGGUAACCAGUCUAGGAUGUUAGAGGUGGGAAAAUAUAAAUUUUCUAUAUAUAUUUACAUUUUUUAACUUUUAAAUAUUUUAUAUUGAAUUUUAAACUAUAUUCAUUUAUAUUUAAAAAUGAUUAAUAAUUUUCCUCUAUUCAUUUUAUUGUAAUGUAGGUUAUUUCUUGUGGAUAAAAUUUUUUUGUUCUUAGCAUAAUUUUUUUAGUCAUAAUAAAAUGCUAAAUUAAUUAAACCUCUAAUAUUUGCAAAAGGCAAACCAAAUGAGAAUACAUAUCAAGUAUAUGAAUAUUAACAUGCGAUCACCAUGUUUAACAUUUUAAAAAAAAAUUAUGUAUUUCUAAAUUCAUUUAGACAUAAAAUAUUAUGAUCAAUAUACGACAUAAAAGAGGAAAACAUACUCUUCAUAAAUUAAAUUAUCAAGUAUAUAAUCAAAGACCGAAAAAAAAAGGAAGUGAAGCUCAUACCCUUACUAACCUUAAUGGGAAAAAAUAUCGAUUGUUCAACAAACAUUCAACAAGUCUAAAAAGACAACACAGGAAAUAGAGAGGGAAAUUGAGUUAGAAGAUAAAGAAACAAGUAGUUAAUUUCAAUUUUGUAUAUGAAAUUGAUAUUAAAGAUAAAGAUGACUUUGAAUCAAGUAAUGACAAUUGGUGAGAAGAGAUUAAAAAUUGUACAAUACUCCCAAUAAAGAAAUUUAAUGUAAAUAUUAAGAAACUUUUCUAAUAGGAGAAAACGAUUUAAAAUUCUCAUAUUGUAGUCUUUUGCAUCACAUUCAUUUGCCAUGAGAGACACAUUGUAGAAAUAAAUUGAAGUACGUUCUUUAUUAGUAAUAGUAAAUUAGUUUUAAUUUUAAAUGAAGAAGAAAUAAAAAUACUAGGAAAUUAAUUCUUAUUUUAAGUAUAUGUUAAUAGAAAUACAAGUAAAUGCUAAAUCAUCAACUUUUGAAACCUAAUUCAAACUUACACUUAAUUUUCUAUGUAAUAUAUCAAAAAUAAGUCUCUAACUCUUUCUCUUACAUUAUGCUUUAAUGGAGGACACAAUUACUUUUACAGUUUAUUGGAACUUAAUAAUAUCUAUGGAUCUUGAUUGGAGAAAUAUUAAUUGAAAAAAAGAUAAUCGUGAUUGAUCAUAUCAAAGUUUGUUUUUGUUUGUCUCAUAUGCCCAAUGUGGCAAAUACAUGCAAUAUAAACUUUAAAGUAAAAAAAUAAAAUAAAACAUUAACAAAUAAAACUUCAUAAGUAGAAGAUGACCUUUUAUAUAUAACUACAAUUAGUUCUUCCUUAGAAGAGGGAACAUGUGAAAUUGAAUAAAUAAAUUAAUUUAAAGUUUGUGCAAUAUCAAUGUAAUAAGAACUUAUAGACUCUUAAACUUGUGCAUUGCCUUUGCCAAAAAAAUCAAGCUUUCAUAAUGUUUUGUUAAAAAUUUGCUUCUCUUUUUUUAUCAAUUUAAAAUUUUUUCUAUUCCUUUAAAUUUCUAUGUUUUAUCUAUCAAUAUUUCUUUUUAAAUUUUAAAGGGGGUGAUUUAUUAUUUUUAUUUUAGUUGCAUACUUAAAUCUCUCACUGAUCAUAGUUUUAUAAUAAUUUUAUGGAUUAUAGUACUUUCAAAUAUGUAACUUGAAAAUAAAAAAUUAAUUAGAAAAUUUUUGGAAUAGUUUAAACCCAAACCAACAAGUUUGAAAUGAUGAGGGUUUAAUCAACAUGCCCUAAAAGAAUAGGUUUGAUUGAAGUCCAUGAUAAAUACACAACCAUUACAAUAGGGAUACAUACACAACUUCAAGGCAUGCUCAUAAAUAUAGCCUAUUCCAAUUUUAGUUUGAACUCCUUCCUUGUAAGCUUCUUCUCAUUUGUGCACUGUCCUUUUUUAUCUCUUAUUUUCAAAUCAAGCAUUGAGUGUUGACUAGAAAUGUAUUAGCCAUAAUUAUUAUUAUUUUUUUUACUUACAUCCAAUUUCUCACCAUCCAAACAUAGCCAAAAAAUGGGCAAAAAAAGAAGAAGAAACAAAAGAUAAUAGAAAAAUAACAAAGUUUUUUUCCCUUUUCCACUUUAAGCCAUUGAAUAUAAGUGUUCGAACCUUUUGAAGCCUAAAAUAAUAAAUUAAAAGAAACAAAAUAAAAACUCCAAUGGGUUCAUAGAGUAAAAUAAUAAAUUAACGAACUAGAUGUUCUUUCUCUGUGUUGAAAGUUAUGUUUUAUGGUCCUCACUUUCUAAGUGUUCACUUUUGCGGGAAUUUAUGAUUAUUUGAUUUGAAAAAGGAAAAAAAAUGAAAAUUGCAUGGUCAUUUAUAGAUCACAUAUUAAAUACUAUGAUUUAAAGCACCAAAAUUCUUGUUCUUCCAAAGUUAGGAUUUGAACAUUAUAUAUCCUUACCUAGAAUUCAAAAUUAGUUGUAUUCUUCAAGAUAUACUGUUGAAACUUGAAAUUGAAAAUUUGUAAUCAACAAUGGCUUAUAUCAGAAAAAUUCAUGUUGGUGUUGUAACCUACCCGACCUCAACUUGAGUCCAAUGCUUUCGAUAAGUGUAGCCCUUAGUUACUCUAAAGGGAUUGCUCUACCAGGUUUAGAUGUUGAUGGUGUUCUUCUUGACAGCUUUGUAAGUGGUAUCAAAAACAUUUCAAUACAUAAGCCUGAAGCAAUUUUUUUGUUUAUCAAGAGAUGGUUGUCAUAGGAGAAAGAGUAUCAAUAGGAAUCAGUGAUUCACCAUAGAAUGCAACUUGUUAUGGUUCAUUACUAAAAUGAUCUAACAUGGACAUUGAUAUGGUUAAUUUUGAUAAUUCAAAACCUCCAUGAUUAUAUCAAUUCAACCAUAUUGACCACUAUGAGAUAAACAUGAAAUGAAACAUAAAUAAAAUGCCUUAUACACCUUAUUGGCCCUAUAAAAGUAGGUUAAAAGAUAAUAGCUGACAUAAUUGACCUCUUGGACGUUCACUUCAAUGUUGAAAAGUGUCAAAGGCUAGAAAGUUGUUAAGCUGCCCAAAUAAGCCAUGCUGUUGUGAUUGUCAUUGAUAAUUCUUGUGGUACUUGUCCUUCAACUUAAGAAAAGGGUUGACUCAUAAUUCUUGGUAUAUUCUUAUUUAAAAUGGGUUAUUUUGUUGGACUUGAUCUGGCAACAAUAAAGAAAAUACCUUGUAAGGCUUGAUUACUAAAUUAGUACAUCAUGAACUUCUUUUUUUUAAUACAUGAUGUCAGACUCUAAAAAGUUAAAACUUUUCAAGAUUAUUACAUAGGGAAUUGUAUUUAGGCACACAUUAUAGGAUCUGCUACACCCAACUAUGCUUUAUGCAUAGUUUCAAAUCAUUUCUAGGAAGUUGUUAGUGGUCAUUUAGAUGAUUGCUUUCACAAAUAAAAAUGGGUAAGUGAUCUCUUACGUAAUGCUUUGAUUAUUUGGACCUUUGUGCUUAAAAUGUGGUUUGAGGAGGGUUUCAUCUAAAAUGGUCAAAUAUAAAGAAUCCUAAACAAGUUUAGACCAAAACAAAGAGAAAAAAAAUUAUGAGUUGAUUUAUUUAUGUGUGGAAGAAGUCUUCCAACUGGUUCAUAGCAUAAUAUCCUUCUACAAUGUCCAAAUUGUAUUGGUUGUCCAUUCUAUACGCUAUUCUCUUUAUAACAAUCUUAUAUAUUCCAAGCCUUUGCAAGAUAUCCAUUAGCUAUAGCUACUUCAAACGCUAUUCUUAUUCAUUCCCAUUUGCACCUCUUAUUACACCGCCUAUACAUGUUGCACACCACAACCAUUAGCUUCCACCUACCCAUUUCCUCCAUUGUAAUUAACUCACCCACCUUUCACUCUCACAAUUUCUGAUCCACCCACCGUUAUAGUUGUUAUUGUUGCAACACUAAUAAGGUUAGUCUUUCAUACUCUAUUUCAUAACCUUUUCAGUUUAGUACCAUUCUACACAUAUUUUAACAUUAUAUGUUUUAGUUGAUCUUUUGCGACUUGCAUGAAUUUCAUUUUAGGCAAUUUUUGGUUAGGUUAAAUGCAAUUAGUCUAUACUUUUAAUUGUUACCAUGCAUCACUUAAUUUUUCUUUAACCUUGGAUAUGUAGUGUCAUUACUAGCACCAAACAUCAUGACUCCAAAAAAGAAAGCUAGACAUGGGUCAACUUUGAUUGCACUUGUGGUAGUACCACAUGACCUUUUCAGGCAUCGCCACCCACUAAUGAGAACAAAUGUGAUCUGCUCAUAGGAAAACGUCUAAUUGCCAUUGAGCGAGUAAUACUAAUUGCUGGUUUUGAGGAACAUGGUAUCAUUGAGUCACUUGACUUUUACAUGUUGAGAAAAUUUAUACAGCUAACACAAGAAUGCCAUCCAACUCUUGUGUGAGCAUUCUACAAUAAUACAAAAAAUGUUUAUCAGGACAAAUAUUAGUUUGACUCUUCAUUAAAAGGAGUUUUCGUGCAUGUAUUUCCCUUAUUGCAUGCAUCUUUGAUUUGGAUGCACCCAAGAAAUCAAUUAACUUUUGUACUCCAAAUAUUGAUAUAAAGGCAAUGUCAGAGACAAUGACAAAGGAAUUAUGCAACCAUUCUUUUCAACUGGGUACAAGUGUUGAACGUAGUUCCUUUUUGCCAAAAUACAGAAUUCUUUGCCUUAUAUUGUUUCAUACUGUCUUGAAUAAGAAGGGUCAUUUUAAUGAGCUUACACUAUAUGUUCUACACAUUUUGUUCCACAUGGCACGUUGCCAUAAAAUCAACUUUUCUGCUUUGAUUUGCCAUAACAUGAUCGAGGCAUGGCAUAAUAAUGUGAGCAUAGGUGUGUUACCAUAUGGUUUAACUGUUUAUUUGCUUUUACAAAAUGCAAGGUUGGAUUUUGGGUCACUACCUUAUGAGUCAGUGCCACACAUGCAACCUAUGUGCAUGAAACAUUCAAUGGAGAAACAAAUUGAAGCCUCAUCUUUGCAUAGGUUGACCAAAAGUUCCCAACUUGGGGAUAUUUACACAAUGUACAAGGCAAAGAACAAACAAUUGAAGAUUGUGCAUCGAUAGUGUGAUUGUUCAAUUUCCGCAUGGAAAGCAUUGCAUCCUAAUGUUCUACCUCCAAUGCCAUUAGACACAUGUCUAAGAAUAUGAUGUUGAUGAUGAUAGUGAUGAGGAAGACGAAGCUGCAUCGACUGAGGCAUAGGAUUGACCUCAAUUUGUGAUGGUGUUACAAUCCAAUGCUUAUGUGUGGUUAAGACGAUUAUGUAAUAAGUUUUUAAAUUCUCGUUCUUAAAUAACUACUAAGCUCAUUUUAAAUUUAGGUUUUCUAAUGGCUAUCUGCAUGCAUGGUUUCACUAAUUAUUAGUAAACUGUAUAAUUUUUUCUAACAAUUAUCAACAGCCUAUUCAAUUUUUAUGUGUAAUUGUGAUGUUCAUUACUAUGUUAUUCUAAAUUAUAUUUGAGCAUAUGAAUUAAAUUUUGCUUGAUUUUGCAUGUUUGUAGGUAGUGCCUCUAUAUUUUAGGCUUAGCCACAAAUGAAGCAAUUGUCCAUGCAUUACAGAAUAAUGUGAACAUCAAGGGUCAACCAUGCAUGUUGUGUGCAGAAUAGGUAUGCCUAUCUUUUUGCUAUUGCACUUAAAAGUAACAACAAUUAUUUCACCCACAUUCACGUAGCUUGCAUGAAGGGUAGGCCCUUAUUUAUUUAUUUAUUUUUACUGCACAUAGCAUACGAAUAUUAUGCUUUGACACAUAGGCAUGCCUAUGAAAUUAAGAGUGGACCCUUACUUUAUGUAUUGCAUAUAACAUAAGGAAAAAAUAUUAUCAUGUCCAUGGGGAUGCUUAUGUCAUGAAGGGUAUGCCCCUAGUUUUCCCUGUAACCCAUGCGUAGAAAAAUAUUGUCGUUACUUAAUAUUUUGUCAUGCAUUGGUUUAUAUGAUCAGUUUUUAUCGCAAUCAUCUAUACAUGAUUAUUCACCUUAGUUUAAACUUCAAUUUGUCAAUUUUGAUAAAGAUGAUUGUACACAUUAAACCUUAUUUACCAUACAGGUUUUUUGAUCAGUACGUAUUUUAUAUGAAGGUCCUAACUUCAUUACUUUUUAUCAAAUUUUAUAUAUUAUCCACAUAAAAACAAUAGUGAAAAGACAACCCAUGAUGAAAGGAGUAAUGAAAGGUUGAUGCUUUGCCAAAUGCAUUCUAAUAUCCUCUUUAUGUUCCAUUACAGUUAGGAUAUUCAACCAUUCUCCAAAGUUUUUAGAUGUGUUUUCUAUACGGUUCCAAUGUGGUUCAUGGAACACCCAAGCCUAUCUAGCCUUUUCGAACAUUUUGUAUGACUUAUACACAUUUCCUUUGUAUUCAAUGACUUGUUCUUGACAUUCUGGCCAUGAGUUGUAAUUACAUCUUUUUCAUUUGAUGAAAACUACAUAAUACUUCAUUGGCCAUGUGUAAUAACUGCAAAAUAAGAUCACUUUAUUUCAAUUUAGGGUAUUGUCAUGAACUUAGUGGAUGAACAUGAUUGUAAGACCUAUGAAUUAAAUGUUAUAUUCUUUACAUUAAAAAAAUGUUCCAAUGGAAUUUAAAAACACAUUCGACGACCACCUACCCCAACAAACCAAACUAUUUUCUAAUGUGGAUUUGUUAAAGCAACACUCCAAAUUUGGCCUCCAAAUGUGUGGUACUCUGUAAUAUUUCACAUAUGAAAUGAAUGAUCGUUGCCCCACCCAUUUUAUACAGUUUUAUCAUGCAUAUAAUGGAUUAUACAAUUGGUCUAAUUUACCCAUGACAAUGUGCUAUACAUUUUAUCUUCCUCUCAAUGCCUUCACAUUCAUAUGUAUGUUUACAACCUUAUCAUUCCUACUAACGAGACAAUGAAAUUUCAUCAUAUACAUAGGGAGAACCUAUUUUCUCACCUAUGGUUUAUUAUUUCAUUUAGGAACCCAUAAGGAAGUGAUUGCAGGUUGUUCCCCAUAUUAGGAUACAUGUUGGAAUACAUGGUACAUCCUUCACAAAAUUUGGUACAUCCUUUAAUAAAUUUGGUAAAUCAUUUGUAAAAUUUGGUAUAUCUAAUCCUAGUGCUACUAGGACCCAAAUUUUUUAACCUAUGGUCCAUUAUUCCAUUUGGGAACCCAUAAAGAAGUGAUUGAUGGUUGUUCCCCGUCUUGGGUUGCAUUUUCGAACCCUUGGUACAUCCUUUGUAAAAUUUGGUACAUCUAAUCCUAAUGCUACCAGGACCACCAUAUUUUCUCCUAUGGUCCAUUAUGUCGUUUGGGAACCCAUAAGGAAUUGAUCAGAUCAGAUUAACACCUCGAGAUACACUGUGGAACCUUUGGUACAUCAUUUAGAAAAUUUGGUACAUCUAAUCCCAAUGCUAUCGAAACUUCCUAUGGUCUAUUAUUUCAUUUGAGAACCCAUAAGGAAGUCAUUGGAAGUUGAUCCCCAUCUUGGGACACACUUUGGAACCCUUAGUACAUCCUUUAUAAAAUUUGGUACAUCGUUUGUAAAAUUUGGUACAUUCAAUCCUAAUGCUACUAGGACCCCCAUGUUAUCACCUAUGCUCCAUUAAUUGAUUUGGGAACCCAUCUCGAAGUGAUUGGAGGUUGUUCCCCAUCUCGGGACGUACUUUGGAACCCUUGGUACAUCAUUUGUAGAAUCUGGUACAUCAAAUCUUAAUGCUAUCAAGACCCUCAUGUUAUCACCCAUGCUCCAUUAAUUGAUUUAGGAACCCAUCUCAAAGUGAUUGGAGGUCGUUCCCCAUCUCGGGAUGUACUUUGGAACCCUUGGUACAUUAUUUAUAAAAUUUGGUACAUCCAAUCCUAAUGCUACCAGGACCCCCAUGUUAUCACCUAUGCUCCAUUAAUUGAUUUGGGAACCCAUCUCGAAGUGAUUGGAGGUCAUUCCCCCUCUCGGGACGUACUUUGGAACCCUUAGUACAUUUUUUAUAAAAUUUGGUACAUCAUUUGUAAAAUUUGGUACAUCUAAUCCUAAUGCUACCGUGACCCCCAUAUUAUCACCUAUGAUUCAUUAUUUCAUUUAAGAACCCAUUUAGAAGUGAUUGGAGGUCAUUUCCCAUCUCGGGACGCACUUUGGAACUCUUGGUACAACCUUUACAAAACUUGGUACAUCUAAUCCUAAUGCUACCAACACCCCUAUCUUAUCACUUAUGUCCAUUAUUUUCUUUAGGGACUUGUGUUAAGUGAUGGGAGGUCAUUACCCACUCCCGAAUGGACUUUUGAUCAUUUGGUACAUUUUUUCAAUAAUUUGGUAUAUACUUAACAAAAUUUGGUAUGUCGAAGCCUCAUGCUACCAACAAGUUAAUAGGAAGUGAUGAGAAGUUGUUCUCUAGCCGCAAAUGGACUUUUGAACCCUAGUUACAUCCUUAUGAAAUUUUUGUAUAUCUAUUCCUUCACCUAAGAGAACCCUAUGCACAUAUUCCACAUUCUUAUGUAUAUCUUGAAGAUGACUACAUUCCUUAUUAACUUAAUAAGGUUACAUACAUUUUUUAAACGUCAAUCCAAGGCCUCAUGGCCUCUAACUUUAAUCUAUUUAUUUUUAUGAGGAAUAGAUAUACAUCUAUUGGUUUACAUAUAUAUAUAUAUGUUUGUUACUAUGUGCAAUAAUACAUAUAUUCCUUACAAAAAGACUUACAUCAUUUAUAAAAUAAGCAUAAAUUAUUUUAAUCCCCUAUGUUAACCCCAUUAGGUAUUUAAUUACUUACAUAAAUAUUUGUAACUAACCCUACUAAAACUAAUUACCUAUAACAAUAGUCUUAUUCACACCUAUAGCCAUCAGAUAUUAAUGCCUCAUAUAGAUUAUCAACAAUUCAACUCAACUUCAUUAACACUAGAUGCUAUGACAUUAAUGUGCUAAACAUUGGAACAUAUGGUCUCUACCAAACAUUAGAUAAUGCAUUUCUUUUGUUUAUUUAUUUAUAUGGUGGCAACUUAUUUGAUAUGAAUGUCAAGGGCCAACCUUUCUAACUUUGGGCAUGCCUCCAUUUGCCUUACUGCCCAAACCACACCUUAAAAUGUAGUCACUUUGCAGGCAUGGCGUGGGUAGAAGAGGCAUGCCUAUCUUUUCCUAUUGCAUAUAGAAUAAAAAAAUUAAGUUUUCACUCACAUUCAUGCAUCUUACAUGAAGGGUGUGCCCCUACGUUGACUACUAUACAUAGCCUACUAAUAUAAUGUUUUCACCAAUAGGCGUGCCUUUUUAAUAAAAGGUGCGGCCUUAUUUUGCAUAUUGCAUAUAACAUACCAAAAUAAUGUUAUCAUACCCAUGGGCAUGCCUCUACAAUGAAUGGUGCAUCCCUACUUUGCCUUCACAUAUACACAUGCCUCUGAAAUGAAGGGUGUGUCCCUACAUUGACUUCUACAUAGAGCAUUAGGAAACUAAUGUUAUUAUUACUUUUAAAAAUUAAUUAGUUCCAUUGAUUCUAAGGGUACAGUGCCCAUGUGUGAACGCCUUCCAAUUAAACAAUGGGUCAACCUUCCUUUUACCGAUUGCCCACAUAAUGCAAAACCAAUUUAAAAUAAGAACAAUAAUAGGAUUGUCUAUGAAUAAAAGGGUUAGCCCUUAUUUUGGCUACUGGCCACUUCAAACAAAACUAAUAAUAUGAUCAAGGGUCAUCAGCCAAAAAUGACAACCCUUACAUAUAAAGGUCGACCAUUAUUAUGUCUACUGGUUAACAAUCUGUUUUUUUUUUCUCUCUCUCUCUCUCUUUCAAGGAUCACCUUUUCAUAUAAUGGAUGACCUAAUUCUUCCUUUAUGGCCACAAAAAUUCAACCCUCCUUUACUACAAAUAUAUCCCUUCAUUUUUUAAUUCAACUAUAAAGUCGUUUCAAAUUGACAUUUUUUUAAACAAAAACUAUUAAAAUGAUUCACAGUAUAGUACCAUUACAAGAGACAAUCAUCCUAUUUAUUAUUCAUUUUCAUCUAAUCAUGAAUAAAGAAAAUAUAUUGUCUACUUAAGUAAAUUCACCAAUUAUUGACUAUGAAAUAUGACUUAACCACCUCAUUUGAAACAACAUCAAAACAUUAGUUAGUACAAAUAAAGUUUGUUGAAAAAAUCAUAUUGUUUAUAUUCAUUAGGGUGUACAAAUAACAACAUUUGAAUCACAAUAAAUUUGAUCACUUAUCUAUUCUAUAUGAAUAUUUUCAAAUACAUAACACUUACAUUGUCGUUUGCUUAUGCUUCUAGUUGAUAUAAUAUAAUAUCAACUAAUAUAGCUCUAUAAACUUUCUUGAACUCGUCCUUUUGUGUCAAUUUGUGACAACAUUACUUGUUUUAUCCAUUGAAAUAUGAAAUAUGAUUGAUGACAUUUGUACAUCUUCAUAUGUUCAUCUCCUUCGUCCUGAGUAAUGUAGGUUAGAUUUAAAUAAGGCAAUCAAUUACUAAAAAGAAAACAUCCAACUUAAAGUGAAAUACAAACAAAUAUAUAUUAUCUCAUGCCAAUUUGUUACACCUCUUUAUUAUUACAUGUAUUUCAUUUUAUUUAAUAACAUACUAUGUUUUUAAAUUUAAUGUUUAUUUCAAGGGGACACCAUGUGAAUCUAUGUGACUUCAAUGAGAUUUUCAAACACUCUUUACUAAGGUACACAUUUUGCUAUUACAAUUACAUUAUAUGUAACAUAUCCCAUAAAAUUCAAGUAAAACGUACAAUCACAAUAUGUUCACAGCAAACACUACAAAUCCAAUUAAAUUAGUCAUUGAGUAUAAUCAGGGAAACAACAAUGAAGAUUACCAAACUAUUACACUUUAAUAUAAAGUUAUUAUAAAGUUUAGUCAAAUAGUCACGGUAAUGGGUUGUUGCAUGUUGCACAAUUAUGACUAGCCUCAUUACAAUGAAAACAAUGAACCAUGUUUUUUUUUUUACACGAAUUGAGACUCGAUUCGAUAUUUUCUAGGUCUUCCAAGAGGGCACUUUGUGGUUGGAGGAUUAAGAAAGGGAUUAGUAUGGCCCAAGGCAUCACUAACGGUUCUAUCUUCAUCAAUCAUUGGCUUAUCAUGUGUCACCAAAGUACACAUGCUUCUAGAGUAUAUCUUCUCUUGAAAAUUGUACUUAUACUAGUCAUCAACAUAAUUAGAUACAUCAAACCCCAUUUGUCAUAUAGUUACACAAGCGUGAUCACAUGGGAUUCUAGACAUUCUCCAUGCUUUGCAUAUGCAAUUUUGCUCCAUUAAGUCCACUUCCAAGUAUGUUUUUCCAUUAGAUACUUUAAUGGAACUACCCAUAUAUGUUGUGUACUUUUCACCAUGUGCAACAUUCAAUGAAUUUUUUUUUUUUUCUUUCUGUUUUUAGGAUUAAUGCACCCAUUCCAUUUUAAAAGUCCAUUUUUGUGCUUGACUAAAACAAAUCCUAACUUAUCCAUAUGCUCAAUGAAGAAAACACAAAUGUUUAUAAUGUCGUUUAUGUUUUAACCAAGAAUUGAAAGACUCGACCAGAUUACUUGUCAUCUUAUACCAAUGCAUCUUCUUAAAUUUUGACAUUGCCCAAUGUUAAGGAUUAUUUUAUUUAACCUACUUGGCCAAAACAUGAUUAAAUGUCCUUAAAGUAUCCAUUGCAACCUCAUAAUCCCAAUCUAACCUAGCAUACACAAUAGAAUCAAGCAUUUGCAAAACAUUUUCCUUUCAUUUCCUCUCUUUAGUGUUUUGCUUUGUUUGAAGGCUACUGAAAUUCUCUUUAAUGUGACGAUAGUAAUGUGCAUGGUUUUAACUACCAAAUACCUCUAAAAUACUAUGCAUAAUCCCUUGGGGCCUAUCAUAUGUUAUUAUAACUUCUCUUUCAUCUAUGACCAUCUUCAAAUUUUCUAAGAACCAAAGCCAAUCCUCAUAAUUCUCAGAGCUAAAUAAGUCAUAAGCUAAUAGAAAUAAGCCAUCGUCAACAUCAUAUGAAGAAGCCGAAAACAAAACACCCUUGUAUGGCACACUCAUGUGGGAUGAAUCUAUUGAUAUAAUGGGACGACACCCAUUUUAGCAUAUAUUAACACUACAAGGGCAACAAGCAAUUAUAUGAAAUGGCUAUCAUGCAAACAUCUAUAUUCAACAAUUGUCCUAGAUUUGUUUUGAUAAGCCUUGUAUACAACUAAGGCAACAACUUAUACAAACAUUGAGGCACAUCGUGAAUUCGUUCUUUAGCUUUCUUUUUCAAGUUUCAUGCUUGACAAUAACUCAAUUGCAUUCCAUAUUGUCGAUGAAAGUCUUUACAUAUUUGUUAGGGCAAGUAGUAUGGACUUGAACGAAUAACAUCAUCAAUCAUAAGUGUGGCUCAAUUACAAUGAACUGCUCAUUUAGAAACUGACACAUCUUCUAAAGAGUGGUUUUGUUGAUUUCUAAAUGUAUGCACCUGAACUAUUUUUGUUUUCAAAACAACACGAUCAGUUACUUUCCAAGGGUAUCCUUCAACAACACAUAAUAUAGUAAUAUGUUUAGGACAAUUCCUCUUGAACUUAUAUCUAAAACACCCUCCUGUUGACAUGAGACAUAUUGCAUCCCGAAAAUCAUUUUCAGUUGAGAAGGUAUGCCCACUGCCCAAUAUUACACUCUCAAAACGACUUGACUCUAGCGGACCAACAUGUGAUUCAACACAUCUUUGAUAAAAUCCUUAUGAUUGCAUUCUAAUAUCAUUAUCUUUUGUUGAACAUAGGAGUAGUGAGUUAAACUCAAUAAUCAUUUCAUUCAAUUUGCAUUAUAAAUAUGUUUAUUUGUCACCUUAUCAUAUAAUGAAUGAACAUAAAUAUUAAUUUUUUUAAAAUAAAUGCAAUCAUUUAAGGUUAUAUAUUAUUUUCAUAUAACUUACCCUUCUCCUCCAUUCUCAACUAUUUCAUCGUCUUCAACUGUUGUUGCUAAGCAAAUAUAUACACGUGCGAACUAAUCACUAAAUUGAAAUAUGUUUGUGAAGUCUUCAUUAUUUUUCAAUGGUUAAAGUGCAUAUAGAUCAAAUGGGAGAGUGUACGAAAAUGUUGGUCCUAUUAUAUCGAUGUUCAUUUUCCCACAAACCUUUGAAACAAAAUCACUAUCUAUCUUUGAGCGUUCUAAACUUAUAUCAUCUUGUUUGCCACCCCUAUAUUCCACACUACCAUGUUUGCCCCCUUACUAGCUCCAUUUCUAUGUGUAGAUAACAAUAAAUUGUAUUACUUGGAUCCAUUUAAACAGUACUAGAUCUUGUGCUGCUCUUGUUUGGAAACACGAACCUUUACUAAAGUUAAAACAAUUAACUAAUUUCUCAAUAACACUGCCUAAACCAAAUUACUUAUAAUAAAUUUAAUUAUCACGCCUAUGACUAUCAUAUAUUAAUAUAUCGUUUACCUUUGGAACUUUACAAGCAAGUUUCAUUAACACUUCAGUCUAAAAUUAAUGUUGUAAAUAUGGACAUGUAUAGCGUAUACAUAAUAUUAAGCUAAGGAAUUAUUCUAUUUUAUUUGGUAGUAAUUUGCUAUAUUAUAUAAGUUAGGGAGUGAACGUCUCAAUUCAUGGGCCAACCACAGUUUUUUUCAUUGUUCAAGCCAAAUUGUGUUAAUGUCCCUGUCUUCAGGCCAACCCUUGAAACAACAGGUCUUCAUCUAUUUUGCUUAUCGCCCAUAUAAGACCACAACAAUGUUUACAACUAAGGGCCUACCUCCAAACAACCGUGUAAUACCUAGCACCAAUGAAUUAAAUAGGCAAAAAUGAUUAUCUUAGUACUUAACUUUAAACGUGCUUAAUUAGAUGUUAAAACUAAUUUAGUGUUAAUCCUGUUUAAUUAUGAAUUAAACUUUGAUUAAGGUUAAGUGAGAUUAGUUACUGACUUAACCAUGCUUAUUAGGUUCCUAGGGGCUAAUUAUGGUUAUGAAAACCUAAAGGAUUAAUGGGCAAUUAUGGGUUUAAUUUUUGAUAACUUGAAGGACUAAAGUGCAAAAUUGAGAAAUUGGAGUUAGUGGCAGCCAUGUGGCUUGCCACCUCCUACUUAACUGCAUGGAGAACCCUAUAUAAGGACCUACAGCUCGUUUUGCACCAUUUUACUUGCAACAACUUGCGUUAGAGAGAGGAUCUAGAGAGAGAAAGUGUAGAUUUGAGGUAAGCAAGUUGUUUAAUUUAGUAAUUUUUUAUUAUUUUAGUUCCUAAUGGUAUGCUAAAACAAAUUAACGGUAAAAUUUCUGUAAAAGUUGAGUGUAAUUAGCUCUAAACAUGUUUUAGUUAAAAAUCACAAUUAAUUAAGGAUUAAAGUAUUUUAGCUUAAGUAUUUUAUUAAUGGUAAGAUCAGCAUAAAUAUUUGUUUAAUUUGGUUUAAUUGAAAAAUAGAUUAGUAAACAUGUGAUUAAUUAAGUUAUUUGGACACUUGGGAUUUGUUAAUAGGUUAGGCUUUAAGAAAAUAAAAAUAAUUAGUGUUUGGUAAUUAACUAGGGAAUAUUAAUAUGCAUUGUAAAUAUUGUUUAAUUCAAUUCAAAUUUGAUUUGAAAACCUGUAGGCAAAUAGAUUAGAGAAUAUUAGAAUUAAAAAUUAGCAACAGUAAAUUGUAUAAAUUUUCAUCGUUAGGAAGUCUAAAUUAUGGGUUUCAUUUCAAUUCCUUGUAAUAGGUAAAAAUCGCCUACAUAGAAGAAUCACAAAGGGAAAGUCCGUGUAAGGUAGGGAAUUUUAUGCUAUCCCAUAGUCUAUCUGAUUUCUUUCCUUGAAACAUUUAUUGGAAAUUUCAUGUCAUUUCUAUGAUUUCAUUAAACGUUUUAAUGUGUCAUUGCAUCUCGGUUUAUUGUGUUGAAAAGUUACAUUGAGAUUGGAAUGCAUAUUGGUAUGAAGAUUCAUGGUUUUGUGUUGUGGAAAUGGUUCAUGGUGUGGUUGCAUGACAAGAAGGAUAUGGAAUAAUCACAAAUGAUAUUCAGAGAAUUGAUUGGUGGAAAGUGUUUAUGUGAUGCAACAGGCAUUAUUUUUUUAUAUAUUGUUUAUGUGGGACCGUGGGUCCUUGGGUGAAAGUCCCUAAAGCCCUCGAGGAAGACACUCCGAUGUGGGUGUAUGGGGUUAGUCCUGCCCCUGGGUUUUAGUCCUUAAAAACACGGGGUUGGUCUUGCCCUUGGGUACGAGUCCCAAAAGACAUGGGGUAUGACUUGCCCUUGGGUGAUGUCCCAGAAUAGUCAUUAUUAUAUUGGCGGAGUAUCUUGAGGAUCAUUGAUAUAUAAUUGAUUACUACCAAAAAGUGCUAUUUUGUAGACCUAAUUAUAAUGGUUUUAAGCACCUUUGAGUACUAAUCAUAUUCAUUUAACCCAAUUAAUUCAUUAAGGUCCUUAGUAAUUGGUUUUAACCAUUUUGUGGCAAGUUUACAUGUUUUUAUCAACUUAUGAAUCAAUUCAAGCAUGCCAAAUGAUGGAGGAGCUACUUGGACAAGUUAUGGAAAAGCUUUUGGAAGCUCAAAUUCAUGAAGAACCAAGCUUUGUAGCUCCAUAGCCCUUUGCCAAAGUCAUUCAAAGCAAGCAAAGUGAAGAGAAGCAAAGAGGACAGCAGUUGUAGUCUUCUUUUGCACUUUUGGAGCACUUCCCGAAGUCCAUUUUUUACAUGAUAUAUACCAUUUCAAAGCUCUAGAAGUCAAUAAUCCAACGCUUCAAACCGUGUACGAUUUGGAGCUGAAAUGAGGAAGAUAUGGCCUUCGGAAGCCAACUGCUCCAGGCUUGUGCGAAAAUUUCGCACGACACCUUGUGUUGUGCGAAAUUCGCACAACACCUUCAAAAUUCGCACAACCCAUGCAUGUUGCGAAUUUUGCUCUGUUUUUGCCGACUCCACUAUAGAUAUUUUCCUAUGUAUUUUUUGAUGUAAUUUCCUUUCUUAACCUUGUAACUAACCAAUCACAAGCUUUUGCUUUUGUAAAGACUAAUUAAGGGGUGGAAAUCACCUCUUGGAAAAGAUAGAACAUGCGUGUUACGUUUUACACUUAGUAAUAUACAGAGCUCUCUCGUCUCUCUUUUCUCUUUACUAUUUUAUUUUCUUAGUAGCCAAACAGCCUCUGAGGGCUUUUCCUCAAAGGAUGAUUGGCUAAAACUUUUAGUUUCUCAAAGUAUGGAUGUUAUGUGAUGGCUUGGAUGCAAUCCCAUGGAAAUUUCUCGCACCCGGAAGGUAAGGUAGUCGUUUUUCAUUAAUGGUUCAUUAAUGCAAAGUUUGGUUUUUAUUUCCUUUGGACAACUUCCAACGGCCAAUACUUGAUAAGCUUUUGGAUUUCUAUCCAUUAGUUAUCUCCUACGAGCUAUUGGAAGGUGAGGUUUUCAAUUCCAAGUUUUGCAUUAAUCCGUUAGAACCAAUUUCAAUGGCCAUUGAAAGGUGAGUUUAUCACUUGGAAUGACUUUGAGUUGCCAAUAUUUGGUAAGCUUUUGGCUUUAGACCAUUAGUUAUCUCUUACGAGCCAUUCAAAGGAAGUCUAAGGUGAAUAACCAUUGAUGAAAUUCACUACCAUCUGUUUUGUCAUUUUAAAGGAUUAAAACUUGAUUUGCUAAAUCCAUACCGGUUCGGGAAGCAAGCAUCACCAUAGUUGCAACCCCAACGCGAGGAGCCUAUCCUGAGAUUUCCAAUUUGCAUAAGAGCCUGAGCAUAGCUAUCCUAUCUUUAAGAAACUUGUUUUUACACCCUUUCAUUUUUAGUCUUUAAUGUUAGCUUAGAUUAGUUUAAAUCUUUCUAAAACAUUUACAUAUUCUUUUAAAGCUAACAUCCAUAAGAAAAUCACCUAUUUUCCUAAUUUGAAUAUCACUUGUGUUUACGAAAACCUUUCCCAGUGAACGAUCCUAGAACCACUAUGCUAUAGUAGCUUGACUACUUUAGUAAUAGUAUUUAAGGUAUAAAUUUUGUUGAUACGCCUUUAAAGCUAAGCUACCAUCAGUCGAAUCAAUAAUGUAUAGAUUGGUGGGGGUGAGCAGUUUAUCAAUUGUGAAAGAAUGGACGAGGAAAAGCAAAGAUGAAACCAACAAACACAUGCAUACAUGUUUGACAUAAUUGCAUAUUUGUAAAUGGUUAUAAAAUGUUUAUCAUGCAUGCUAUUACAUGUUUAAUUCAAGGUUUUUAAGGGUAUGCUUAGGAUGGUUAUAAACUUUCCUAUUGAGUUGUGAACUCACCCUAUCCCUUCCACCUUUAGAUGCAGGUCAGAAGACCUAUGUAGAAAAUAAUGCUUGAGCAUUGCUUUAUUGUGAUUGCAUGUUGUUUGCUCGCAUUGAAAGUGUUUUGAGGUUUUGUCUUUGUAUUAAAGACUGAAUCUUUUUAUAGGAAUGAUGUAAUAUAUAUAUAUAUAUAUAUAUAUAUAUAUAUAUAUAUAUAUAUAUUAGGUACACUUGUAGUAUGGGCUACCUGUAGUGAACCAUGGGGUGUUGGUGUAUGUAAAUUAAUGUAGUACAAGUUUCUUUUGUGAAACGAAACAUAUUUUGUUAACUAAUAAUUACAAAGUUUAAUACAUGAUGUACUCUUUAUAACAGGUUUUGCAUAUCCUCUUUUUGCACAAAACCAAAUAGGAACUCAACAUUUAAAUAUUUUUUAUCUCCAUAUUAUUGAGAUCACGUAUACUGUAUUUGAGUAUUAAUUGUUCAGUUUAAAAAAAAAUCGGGGUGUGACAACUUGGUAUUAGAGCCUAAGGGAUUAGAUGCCUAUUGUGGACAAUAGGUGGGGAGCCCAAUAGGUGCACUGGAGUCAUUGUUAUUGUUACACUCUUUUACUAUGCAUGAUAUAUAUUGAUAUUAUGGUGAAAGGUUAAAUGAUGAAUGUUAGGUUUGUGUCUUUGUUGUGUAGAUGAUAUUCUUGGUUGUAUUGGUGUGAGUAUGCCUAGCUAUGAUAAUUGUGAUCAUGUUGUUUGUUUGAAUUCCUGAUUGUUGAGAAUCCAUUACUAUAGUGUUGUUGGUAUUAGGUUUGUUUUCAAAAUGAUUGCAUGUGACAUAAGUGGUUUAAUUGUAUUGUAUAAGGAUGCUUGAUUUAAUGAAUAACCCUUAUAAUGUAAUGUAUUGAUAAUCUAAUCCUUGUAUACCUUUCUAAGACAAAAUACCUAGAGCAAGGAACCGAUUAACAACAAGGCCUAGGCAAACAACUAGAUCAUCUCCACUAUCUCAUGGUAAUGUAACCGAAGGAAGAGCUGCAAUAUAUCCAACUGCUGGUUCAGAAUGCCAUAACGUGAGCCUAAUUCGGGAAUUUAAAGCACCGACUCCUCCAAUCUUUCCGGAUGGGCCUAAUUUUCUUGAAGCUGAGAAUUGGAUGAAAUAAAUAAAGAAAAUACUAGAUGUAAUGGUAGUGCAUGAGGAAAUGAGAGUUUCUUUAGCCUCCUUCAUGUUGAGGGAUGGAGCAGACAACUGGUAAGAUAUAAUCAAGACUACUUAGGAUGUAACUAAGAUGGUUUGGAUGCAAUUUGAGGAGCUACUUUUAUCCCAUUACUUUCUAGAGGCCAUUAGAAGACAUAAAAAAGUUGAAUUUAUACACUUGGUUCAAAGGAACAUGACAGUGACUGAAUAUGCAGCAAAGUUUACACAACUAUCUAGAUAUGCUCCGAAUGUGAUUGCAGAUGAACAAAUACGAGUUAAACAAUUCCAAGAGGGGUUGAGAUUGAAUAUUAGAGCAUAGGUCGCUCCCUUCAUGCUUCAUACUUAUAGUGAGGUUGUGGCAAGGGCUCUUGUUAUAGAAAGGGAAAUGGAGGAAACUCAAAGGUUGAGAAGCAAAAAUUCUAGGUUUGGUGAUUCAAAAAAACGGGAACAAGAUUUUAAGCGCUAGAAAGUGACUCAUCCCCAACAACAACCCAAAAAACAAGAGCAGUAGAGUGAGACUACAGAUUGGGCCAAAGGACCAAGGAGAUGUUAUGAAUGUGGUGAGCUGGGACAUCUUAGGAGGGAGUGCCCAAAAUUUCAACGACUUGUGUACCAGCCAUCUCAACGGCAAUUUUAGCAAAUGAACUCACGAAUCCAAGGAAGGCAACCUCAAGGGGAAGGAAACUUUAGACAAAGGAAGCCUGGACAAAAGCCAAAGCAAGGACAACAAAGGACAUUUUAUGCAUUGGAGUCACAAAAUACAGAGUCAAAUGCCUUAGUGGAAGGUAUGAUCUUAUGUUUUAGCACUUGGGCACAUCUUUUAUUUGAUCCAAGAGCUACCCACUCUUUUAUUUCUGCAUCAUUUGCCCCCAUGUUAGACAUAGAAUUUGUUCCUAUUCAUUGUUCAUUAUGUGUUGAGACUCCUAUGGGUGGUAAGGUGGAAACCAAGUGGGUGUGUCAUGCUUGUGUACUUUAUAUUGGGGGUCUUGAAGUUACACCGGGAUCUGAUUCUUCUUGAUAUUCCAUCCUUUGAUGUAAUUGUGGGGAUGGAUUAGCUGGCCUGACAUCAUGCUGUAUUAGAUUGUUAUUUGAAGAAAGUAACAUUCCAAACCUCUUCUGGUUCAUAUUUGAUUUCUAUGGUGACAGAAGGCUUACAUUUAUUCCAUUAAUUCGAAACCUAGAUGACAAGUGGUCAGGAAAGGAUGGUGGACACUAUUUUCUUUUUAAUAUGCUGGGAGAAGGCAAAAAUAAGAUAACUAUAGAUUGCAUUCCAAUGGUUUAUGAAUUUGCUGAGGUUUUUCCAAAAGAAUUGCCAUGUUUACAUCCUUAUAGAGAGAUAAAUUUUUCUAUAGAAUUGUAUCCAGGUACAGAUCCAAUAACAAUAGCUUCAUAUAGGAUGGCUCCAGUUGAACUUAAGGAAUUGAACAUUCAGUUGCAGGAGUCACAAAGUAAAGGGUUUAUUCAGCCUAGUACCUCACCUUGGGGUGCUCCAGUAUUGUUUGUGAAGAAGAAGGAUGGAUCAUGUGACCAUGGACUUUGUGACAGGAUUGCCAAGAACUCCCCAAAGUAAGGAUAGUGUAUGGGUAAUAGUUGAUAGACUAACGAAAUAAACACAUUUCUAAGCAAUGAGGAUCACUAAUUCAAUUCAUGCUUUGAGUAAAAUGUAUAUGAAGGAAAUUGUGAGGUUGCAUGGGGUACCACUCUCUAUUUUCUCCGAUAGAGAUCCUAGAUUUACAUAUCAGUUUUGGAAAUCCUUACAAAAAGCCUUGGGAACUGAAAUAAGAUUAAGUUCGACAUUUCAUCCUCAAAUUGAUGGGCAAUCAGAAAGAGUUUUUCAGAUUUUGGAAGAUAUGUUACGAGCAUGUGUGAUGGAUUUUAAAGGAAAUUGGGUAGAACAUUUACCCUUAAUUGAAUUUUCUUACAAUAAUAGCUUCCAAAGCAGUAUUGGAAUGGCACCGUAUGACGCACUUUAUGGGAGGCCAUGUAGAUCCCCUAUGUGCUGGAUGGAAUAUGGUGAAACUAGUUUAAUUCGGCUAGAAUUGGUGUAAGAGACUACUGACAAGAUUCGAGUAAUACAUGACAGGCUAUUGGCAGCACAAAGUAAACAAAAAAGUUAUGGUGAUCACAAAAAGAGACCCCUAGAGUUUCAGGUAGGAGAUCACGUGUUUUUACGUGUAACACCUCAAAAAGGCGUAUUUCGAUUUGGUAAAAGGGGAAAGCUUGCUCCAAGAUAUAUUGGGCCCUUUGAAAUCCUUCAAAAUAUUAGAGAGGUAGCAUACAAAUUAGAUUUACCGCCACAGCUAUCAGGUAUACAUGAUGUGUUCCAUGUCUCCAUGUUGCAGAAAUAUGAGCCUAAUACCAAUCAUGUACUAGAUUGGCAAGAUUUGAAUUUUUAAGAAGACAUAACAUAUAAGGAAGGGCCAAGAGAGAUUUUAGAUAAGAAAGAGCAGGUACUACGACCCAAAACCAUACCUCUAGUGAAAGUGUUAUGGGAUCAUCAUGGAGUGAAAGGAGCUACAUGGGAGUUGGAAUCAGAUAUGAGAAACAAGUACCUAGAAUUCUUUAAAGGUUUACUUUUUAAAAUUUCGAGGACGAAAUUUUUGUUAGGGGGAAAUGGUGUAAUACCUAGCACCAAUGAAUUAAAUAGGCAAUAAUAAUUAUCUUAGUACUUAACUUUAAACGUGCUUAAUUAGAUGUUAAAACUAGUUUAGUGUUAAUCAUGUUUAAUUAUGAAUUAAACUUUGAUUAAGGUUAAGUGAGAUUAGUUAAUGACUUAACCAUGCUUACUAGGUUCUUAGGGGCUGAUUAUGGUUAUGAAAACCUACAGGACUAAUGGGAAAUUAUGGGUUUAAUUUUUGAUAACUUGAAGGACUAAAGUGUAAAAUUGAGAAGUUGGAGUUAGUGGCAGCCAUGUGGCCUGCCACCUCCUACUUGGGUGGGCUGGUGGCAGCCAUGUGGCCUACCACCUCCUACUUGGCUGCAUGGAGAGCCUUAUAUAAGGGCCUACAGCUCAUUUUGCACCAUUUUACCUACAACAGCUUGGGUUAGAGAUAGGAUCUAGAGAAAGAAAGUGUAGAUUUGAGGUAAGCAAGUUGUUUAAUUUAGUAAUUUUCAUUUAUUUUGGUUCCUAAUGGUAUGCUGAAACAAAUUAACGGUAAAACUUCUGUAAAAGUUGAGUGUAAUUAGCUAUAAACAUGUUUUAGUUAAAAAUCAUAAUUAAUUAAGGAUUAAAGUUUUUUAGCUUAAGUAUUUUAUUAAUGGUAAGAUCAGCAUAAAUCUUUGUUUAAUUUGGUUUAAUUGAAAAAUAUAUCAGUAAACAUAUGAUUAAUUAAGUUAUUUGGACACUUAGGAUUUGUUAAUAGAUUAGCCUUUAAAAAAAUAAAAGCAAUUAAUGUUUGGUAAUUAAUUAGGGAAUAUUCUUAUGCAUUGUAAAUAUUGUUUAAUUCAAUUCAAAUUUGAUUUGAAAACCUGCAGGCAAAUAGAUUAGAGAAUAUUAGAAUUAAAAAUUAGUGAUUCGUUUCCAAUUGGUGUAUCAGCUGAUUCAUGUCCUCUCAAUGGUCCCCGGCAGCAGUGCCAUUUGAUUUGUGCCCAGCUGGUGUAUGUCCUGUUGAUUGGUGCUCAAUCAACUGGUGUACCUUGAUUUUGGUCCUCAGACGGGAGUAAUCAACAAAAUUUAUAACCUAUUACACCAUGUACUAGGAUAGCCUCAGCUAGCAUAGCAUAGUGGCUCUAGGAUCGUUCACUGGGAUGGGUUUUCACUUCACAAUUGAUAUUAAUUCAAAGCUGAAUUGGUGCUUUUUCAUUUCAAUGUUAGCUCUAAAAGAAAACAUAAAGAUGUUUGAGUGAAAAAGGUUUGGUUUUAAACUAACCAAAAAUAAAAUAACUGAAAUUACUUACAAAGAAAAGUGUUUCUUGGAGUUUCAGAUCACUAGGCUCAGGUUCCUUAUACAAAAAGGAAAUUCCAGUCACUUGAAUCUUUUCCUCGUAUUGGGGAUUUAACAUAUAGUUAUUUCCCGAACCGGUGUGGUACAGAUGUUUCCCCUUAAUGGGUUCAAACAUUAAAUCCCUCUCACUGAUUCAUCUUGCAAUGACUCAUGCCUCUCACCUAGCAUUUGCCAUUCAAGGUGAUCCUUAACCUCGGAUUACCCAUCAAAAGCUCGCAAGAGAUAACUAAUGGAUGUCUCCUUAGAGUCCAAAAGCUUACCAAGUGUUGGCUAUUCUAGAAAAUCCUACCUUCAAACCACCUCCCAAAGGCUCACAAGAGAUAAACUAAUGCAUCUCAAUGGACGGAGAUCACUUGCCUUACCAAGUGUUGGCCCAGGUGAUUUAAAGGCGUUUUAAGUUAACUAAAAAGAUAAAAACCAUUAACAGGUCACACUUUCUCUUCAUUAAAAGCUGAAACAACAAAACUUCCAAUUUUUGCAUGCGAAAACUUACUCAGCUUUCUUCACUCUAAGAGACAAAAAGCCUAGCCACUCAUCCUCUGAGGAAACAUCCUCAGAGUUUGAUUUUCUAGAAAUAGAAAUAACGAGAAAACAAAAAUAUGAAGGAAAAACAGAGCAAGUGCUCUAUAAAAUCUAUUUCUUACUAUCGUCGAUUACAUGAUGCCUUUUUCUUUACAUUGGUUCAAAGAUAUAUAUAGAGAAGAUAUUUUCUAAGAAAUAUCCCAAUAAUAUCUUUGACUGAUUACAAGGAGAAAAUAGAAAUUUACACAAAAUAUCUUGAGAAAAAAUCUAACUAAGUUGGUUGCAAAUAUCUGAGUUUCCACGGGUGGAUUUCGCAAGGUGAUUCACAUGUUGAAUUAUCCAUUUUGCAAGUUUGAACUUUGAUUUUGCAAGUUGAAUGUGUGAUUUCACAACUUGGAGGUGAUUCCGCAACUUGGAGAUGAUUUGCAACUUGUUUCGCAGCUUGGAGGUGAUUUCGCAACUUGGUUCACAACUGCGAAGAUGGAGUUUCAACUUGCGAAGUGGCACACGUGUGCUUGCAGGUGGUUUCGCAGCUGCGAAACACCUUGCGAAAUUUCACAAGUGGAUUUCAUUUUGCAGCUCAUUUUGUAGCUGCAAAAUGGGCUUUGGGCUGUGAAAUUUUCGCAACUCAUUUCGCACAGCUUGAUGCGGUUGUCUUCAAAAGGCCAUAACUUCUUUGUUUCAACUCUGAUUCGCACCCCGUUUGAAGCGUUGGACUCCUAAAUUCCCAAGAUUAGAAACGACAUAUCAUAUACAUAAAAUGGACUCCAAGAAGUACUCGAAAUGUGUCCAACAUUUGCUGUCCUCUUGAAUUUCUUCAUGUUAGAUUCCUCUCUUUGUUUUUCCUCCUUGCAUUCUUGAUUUGGGGCAAAGAACUACGAAGCUCCAAAGCUUGAAUUCUUCAUGUAAAUGAGCUUCCAUUUGCUUUGCCAUGAAUUAUAUAAAACUCUCCCUCAUCUUAGAUUGCUUUGGUGAUCAAAAAGCUAUCAAAAACACCAAAACUUAACACAAUUUGAUUAGAAAUGAUUGCAAGGGUCUUUAACAUGCCAAUUGAGUUAAAAGGUAAUAACUACUACUCAAAAGUGUUUAAAAGAGUUAAUUACAAGCUAUAAAAUAGCACUUUUUGAGUAGUAAUCACUCCCCCCAACCGACAUAUUGCUAGUCCCUUAGCAAUGAAAGAGAGAAAAAGAAAAAUAAAAAGUACUAUAAUUUACAACAUCAUGCUGAUCAAAAAAUAAUUUUCAAGUGGCAUGAUGAUCUAACUCUCACAUGGAACAUUAAAGAAAUAAAACUCAAACUUCAACAAGAGUUAUCAAAUAACUUGUCUAAUCACAAUUCAUAAAGAGAAGGCAUUAUGCAAAUUUAAGCUUUAAAAGAGUUUCCACUCCCAAAUGAUCAAACCUUACUCUUCCAAAAAGAUCUAAGUGUUAUUUAUUAGCUUCCGAAUAUAGUAUGUUGAACUAAUCUCUCCCCCCAACCUAGUUUUUUUUCAAAGCUUAGCAAACUGAUCAACCUCCAAUAGGCUAAGAACGCACCUCUUGUUUCACAAUUUUUUUCAUUGUAGGAGUACAAGUCUUAAAGGUAUUCUUUUCCAAAUUGUCCAUGUAACGGGGGUCCAUCGAUGACUGCCAAUCAAUUAAGGUUUAGGGCAUCAAGCUUUAAGGAUCUUUCAACCACUAACUCCUCGGAUUUUACCCCGGACUUUUGAGAAUGAAAUUUUAAUACCCAAGCACCUACAGUGUGUUAAACUCCACCUAUUCACCACUUUAAAGAGCAUUGAGGUCGAUGAUUCCCAACCAAUGAAGGCUUAGGGCACCAAGUUUUAAAGAUUUUCACCAUAUACCCCUUAGACCUUGCUCGGGUUUCAAGGCAAGUAAAACAUUUUUUCUUUCUUUCUUUUUUUCAAAGGCUCAUUGGCCUUUUAUAAGGUGUCCCAACACUAUUAAAAUGAGGUCAAAGGUACCAAGUUUAAAUUUUCCUAAGUCAAAAGGGAAAUAGUUUUUCAUCUUAUAAUCGGAACCUAUUGUGCACAGUGUGUGAAUAGCUUAAAGUGGAAGAACUAAGGUUGAAUUCAAUAGAAGUUUCAACAAUUCAUCAACUUUAGUAAGCAUAAUACAAACUCUAAGUUAAGUAAAAAGACAAAAAAUCAAUUUCUCCCUUUUCAUUUUGAAAAUUUUUCCUUAAUAACCAUGGAGAGUAGAAUAAAAAAAACUUAAAAAAUUUUAAAAUUAAGCAAAAAGCAGCUAAAUUACCAAAAUAACUUAGCAUUAAUAACAAAACUUCCUUCCUCAACUCUCCCCCCAACCAAGCUGAACAUUGUACUCAAUGUGGCAAGAGCGAUUAAAAAAAUAGGGAGGAAGUGGUACCUCUUUAGUGAUAUGGAGUCUGAGUCAUAUAGGAGAAACCACAUGUUUCAAAAAAAACAAAAGAGUUAGUGAGUAGAGGAAAUAAAAAAAUGCCAAGUUUAAACAAAAAUGAUGUCUAUAUAUGAUGCAUCAUCGGUAAUACAUCCAAUCCUAGAAUAUAAAACAUCAAAACAUGGAAUUAUCUAUACUAAUAUAAUAUUUAAAGACAAAAAGUAAAGAGAUGAUCAAGUAAUGGUAGGGUCCUGUGGAGUUGAUGCAUUUGUGGUGGCCUCUUAAGUGGGUUGGAUCAGGACUUUGACCUCUGUUCUGGUAGUCACCUUAGGUGGCAUAGUCUCCUCAACUGGAGCUCUCAGUUGAAGCUAUGGGCUCUGAUGGUUUAGGGAGGUCAGAAAUGGAGUGAGAAGCUUCGUGUGUGUGAUCUUAAUGAGAGGGCUCUCCUCUUUAGAUGCAUGGUUAUGUGGCUCUAUUGGCAUUUUCGCAACUUCCCUUGGCUUCACAAGGUGUUUUCGUAAACCUCCCUCCAUUUCGCAAGUCAAUUUCGCAACUUGAAGGCCAUUUUGCAGCUUGGAGGUGAUUUCGUAGCCAUUUCAAAGCUUGGAGGCCAUUUCGUAGCAAAAUGAUGAUUUCGCAGCCAAUGGGGGAUUUCGCAGCCCAUUUCGCAGCCAAGGGCCAAUUUCGCAGCCAAUGGAGGAUUUCGUAGCCCAUUUCGCAGCCAAUGGUCAUUUUCGCAGCCAAGGCCCAUUUUCGCAGCCAAGGGCCAAUUUUGCAGCCAAGGGGCAUUUUCGCAGCCAAAUGGGGAUUCCACAGGCCAUUUCGCAACCCAUUUCGCAGUUGCGAAAUGGGAGUGUGGGGCUACGAAAUGGCACUCGUGUGCCAAAGGGGCGUUUCGCAACUGCGAAAAUUUUCGUAGGGGUAGCUAUGGGGCUGCGAAAUGAUUUCGCAGCGGAGGGCCAUUUUUGCAGCCAACCCUUAAUUUCGCAGUGGGGGGUCUUGUGGCUACGAAAUGAUUUCAACAGGUGGCCAUUUUCGCAGGGGGCUAUUUUGGGCUGUCAAAUUUCGUAGGCCUCUGGAAUUCCUUGCUUUUUGGUUUCUUUAGACCUUCUUUCACCUCUUUUGACAUUCCUCUUGAUUUUGAUCAUCCAAAAACCUAUGUUAAAUCAAAACAAAGUAAAAUUAAAGCAUUAAAAUCAAAAUUAAAACAAGUAAUACAAUAAAAUAAAAAGAUAUGGACUAGUUAGUCUUUAGAAAGACUAAGUCCAUAAAAAAAUUUGAUCCUGAUUCAGCUUGCCCGGAUCCCAUAUGAAAUUUGCAUCUCUCACUUGAGACUUGCUCUGUAUGAUGUUGCCAUACAAAGCUUGGAGGAAAAGUGGAGGCAUGUGUUUCUUCAUCAUUUCUUCCUUCAUGACUAUCCUCUGUGGUUCUUUAUCUAUAUUAAGAUCAUAGUCAUCUUUCUUUGUACUUUUCCCCUUUUUCUUUCCUUUGAUUUCCUCCCUCUUUUCUUUCUCUGUUUCACUCUCUACCUUAUGCUCUAACUUGGAUGUGGGCAGAUCAACUUCUUUACCACUCCUUAGAGUGAUCACUUCUUUGACUUCCCUCUUCUGUGAAGAUUCUCCCUCCUUAACCUCCAUUUCAUGGAUACCCUUUUGAUUUUGAUGAGGUUGAAAAUGAAAGUUUCCUUUUUCUUGCACUAUGUUGAGGUUGGCAAACCUUGAGAUUAAAUAUUGGAGAUUAUCUAUCUUCUGAGAUAGAUCAUGUUACACUCCAUCCAUCUUUUUGUUCAAUGAACUCUCUACACUGUCAAUUCUUUGACUGAGCUGAGCAUUGAUGGAUUUUUGAGCUCCAACAAAGUCUCUCAUGACCUUGCUAAGAUUCACCAUAGCUUGUUCAAGGUUCAAGGCUUGCGGAAGUGCUUGAACAUGUUGCUUGUACUGAGGUGGCUGUGGUUUCCAAGAGAAAUUUGGAUGGUCCCUCCAAUUGGAAUUGUAGGUGUUGCAAUCACCAAACAUUUCUCUCACCGCUGGAAUGGUAGGACACUCAUCCACCAAGUGCUCAUAAGAUAGACAAAUGGCACAAGGCAUAGCUUGCAAUGGUGUCUGAGAGAUGGCUUGCACUUCUUGCAUCUUCUUCAUUUCUAACUCUUCUAAUCUCCUUGCAAUAGCUGCAAUGUUUGCCUUCAUGUCUAUGUCGUCAUUUAAAAUAUACAUCUCACCCUUAGCAUUAGGUUGAGACGUCAUUCUUCCCAUAUCUCUAGCAUUUGGUUCAUCCCAUCCUCUUGAAACUUCAGCCACAUAACUCAUGAAGUUCAUGGCUUCCUCUGCUAUCUCGUAUUCAUUAUGGCAUGAACAACUAGCAAUUUGUGAAUUAAAAACAAAGAAAACAAAAGAAAACAAAAGAAAAACAAUUCUAGAAAAGAAAAAAAAUUAUUAAGAUUAACUAAAAACUAAAUAAAAGCUAUACUAAAAUAUGAACAAAGAAAAAGAAACAAAUAAAAAGAGUUAGUAAAAAGAAAAGAAAAGCCACCAAACUUGUGAUGAAGAUCACAAGUACUUUGGAAAGGUGAUAUCAUUGUAAAGUGACACCAUCCCCGGCAACGGCGCCAUUUGAUUCGUUCCCAAUUAGUGUAUCAGCUGAUUCAUGUCUUCUCAAUGGUCCCCAGCAGCGGUGCCAUUUGAUUCGUGCCCAACUGGUGUAUGUCCUGUUGAUUGGUGCUCAAUCAACUGGUGUACCUUGAUUUUGGUCCUCAGACGGGAGUAAUCAACAAAAUUUAUAACCUAUUACACCAUGUACUAGGAUAGCCUCAGCUAGCAUAGCAUAAUGGCUUUAAGAUCAUUCAUUGGGAUGGGUUUUCACUUCACAAUUGAUAUUAAUUCAAAGCUGAAUUGGUGCUUUUUCAUUUCAAGGUUAGCUCUAAAAGAAAACAUAAAGAUGUUUGAGUGAAAAAGGUUUGGUUUUAAACUAACCAAAAAUAAAAUAACUGAAAUUACUUACAAAGAAAAGUGUGUCUUGGAGUUUCAGAUCACUAGGCUCAGGUUCCUUAUACAAAAAGGAAGUUCCGGUCACUUGAAUCUUUUCCUCGUAUUGGGGAUUUAACAUAUAGUUAUUUCCCGAACCGGUGUGGUACAGAUGCUUCCCCUUAAUGGGUUCAAACAUUAAAUCCCUCUCACUAAUUCAUCUUGCAAUAGCUCAUGCCUCUCACCUAGCAUUUGCCAUUCAAGGUGAUCCUUAACCUCGGAUUACCCGUCAAAAGCUUGCAAGAGAUAACUAAUGGAUGUCUCCUUAGAGUCCAAAAGCUUACCAAGUGUUGGCUAUUCUAGAAAAUCCUACCUUCAAACCACCUCCCAAAGGCUCGCAAGAGAUAAACUAGUGCAUCUCAAUGGACGGAAAUCACUUGCCUUACCAAGUGUUGGCCCAGGUGAUUUAAAGGCGUUUUAAGUUAACUAAAAAGAUAAAAACCAUUAAUGGGUCACACUUUCUCUUCAUUAAAAACUGAAACAACAAAACUUUCAAUUUUUGCAUGCGAAAACUUACUCGGCUUUCUUCACUCCAAGAGACAAAAAGCCUAGCCACUCAUCCUCUGAGGAAACAUCCUCAGAGUUUGAUUUUCUAGAAAUAGAAAUAACGAGAAAACAAAAAUAUGAAGGAAAAACAGAGCAAGUGCUUUGUAAAAUCUAUUUCUUACUAUCGUCGAUUACAUGAUGCCUUUUUCUUUACAUUGGUUCAAAGAUAUAUAUAGAGAAGAUAUUUUCUAAGAAAUAUCCCAAUAAAAUAUUUGACUAAUUACAAGGAGAAAAUAGAAAUUUACACAAAAUAUCUUGAGAAAAAAUCUAAGUUGGUUGCAAAUAUCAGAGUUUACACAAGUGGAUUUCGCAAGGUAAUUCACACGUUGAAUUAUCCAUUUUACAAAUUUGAUCUUUGAUUUUGCAAGUUGAAUUUGUGAUUUCACAACUUGGAGGUGAUUCCGCAAAUUGGAGAUGAUUUGCAACUUGUUUCGCAGCUUAGAGGUGAUUUCGCAACGUGGUUCGCAGCUGCGAAGAUAGAGUUUCAACUUGCGAAGUGGCACAUGUGUACUUGCAGGUGGUUUCGCAGCUGCGAAACACCUUGCGAAAUUUCGCAAGUGGAUUUCAUUUCGCAGCUCAUUUCGCAAUUGCGAAAUUUUGCAUAGCUUGAUGUGGUUGUCUUCAAAUGGCCAUAACUUCUUUAUUUCAGCUCUGAUUUGCACACUGUUUGAAGCGUUGGACUCCUGACUUCCCAAGCUUCGAAAUGACAUAUAGUAUGCAUAAAAUGGACUCUAGGAAGUACUCAAAAUGUGUCCAACAUUUGCUAUCCUCUUGAAUUUCUUCAUGUUAGAUUCCUCUCUUUGUUUUUCCUCCUUACAUUCUUGAUUUGGCUUUGGCAAAGAACUACGAAGCUCCAAAGCUUGAAUUCUUCAUGUAAAUGAGCUUCCAUUUGCUUUGCCAUGAAUUAUAUAAAACUCUCCCUCAUCUUAGAUUGCUUUGGUGAUCAAAAAGCUAUCAAAAACACCAAAACUUAACACAAUUUGAUUAGAAAUGAUUACAAGGGUCCUUAACAUGUCAAUUGAGUUAAAAGGUAAUAACUACUACUCAAAAGUGUUUAAAAGAGUUAAUUACAAGCUAUAAAAUAGCACUUUUUGAGUAGUAAUAUGAUGUUAAUGAAAUGUAUUAUUAAUUCACAACUAAUACUCACCAAGCACCAUUUAUGACCUCAAAGCAAUCACUGCUCGAUCACCAAAUCCUCUCAUUGCAUAUCAGAAUAGUAUAAGCUACAUAUUAAAUAAUUGAAAGUCAAAAAUUGAGUAAAUGAAAUUCAAUUAUUUAAUUUAUAUUAUAACUCUAAUAAUUUACCUUAUUUCCAAAUUGACUAAGACUUUCUACUGCAGGAUCUAAUUUUACAAAGACUUUCUUGAACUUGAAGUAGAUCAAGAUUAGUGCCAACUCCACGUUUAUAUUGAAACCUUAGAUUAAGAAAGAAUGCUACAAUAGUAAAGUAGAAAUGUAGAAUUAAAAUGUUAUGAAAGAAACAUAUUAAAUACCAAUAACUUUUGAAUAUGGAUACUACUUAGUUACCUACUACAUGAAAAGGAUGUUUAAGAGUUCUAUCCCAAUGAUCUGUGAUUAUUUUUAAUACUUAUUCUUUAGCAUUAAGUUGAAUGAGGUUCUCUUUCAUAACUCAAAUCAAUUCGUACACAAAUGGCAUUGUACGAACAACUUCUAAAUCGACAAUGCAAAGAACCAUGUAUAUCACCUCAUAGAUUAACACAAGCUUUCCCACUAUCUCCUAGUACGCAUGAUCAAACAUAAGUUUUUCAAUCUCUUUGUUGAUUAAUGUGUCACUUAACUUGUGUUGUGCCCAUUUAUUAAUGAUAAACACUUUCUUCAAGUUUGCCUUCUUUUUUUUCAAAAGAUUGUCGAGGACAAUAUAAUUGGUUGCAAAUCUUGUUGCUCCAGGGCGAACUAUGUCUCCACCACACACCUUCCACAUCUAUGCAAGCAACCAACUAUGGUUAUAGAUGAAGUUGGUUAUCUUUCGAGCCUUUGUAAUCACAUCUGCAACACUCGACCUUUUACCAAUGUCUUCGAACAUUAAGUCGAUGCAAUGUGUUGCGCACGAAGUCCAAUAAAGGUUGUAUUUUUUCAUUAACGGCUUCCCUGCCUUCACGAAUGCCAACCCAUUAUCUGUAACUAUUUGUACCACAUUUUGUUUGCCAACUUCCUUGAUCACAUCUUUCAACAAACCAUAUAUGUAUUUGUUGUCCUUUAUAUAAUUUGAUGCAUCAACAUAUUUGAGGAAGAUUGUGCUACCUUGUGAAUAUACCAUGAAAUUAAUUAUACUUAAUUUUGUGGGCCCAAUCCAUCUGUCACACAUAAUCAUGCAUCCAUAAGUCUUCCACUUUUCUCUUUGGACAUUGACAUAAGCUUCCAUGUCUUUGUACUCCAUUAUCCAAGUACUUGUAUUUGAUUUCAUAAGGAGACGGUGGUUCUAUACCCAUACCUACCAUCCAUAUAUAAUUAAAGCAUAUAAGAACAUUUGUGGCAAUCAUACUUUAUAAAUAAUAAUGAUAUUGAUAAAAUGAAUACUAUUUUUAAAAUUAUAAUAAUUACCUGCAUAUUGUGUACCCAUAAUCAUGUUCUUGAAGUGGUGAGAGUUUGUUUUAUUGGGCGCAACACUCUCAUAUAUGAAGAACUUACUGAUAAAACGUCCUAUGGUUUCCUUGAUGGCACCACCUUUGAAAAGAUUUUUCACAUUUUUCUGUCUUGUUGCUAAAGAUUUGUACAAUGAGGGUGCACUAGGCGGUGAUGGAUCUGAAUAUCAAACACUUUACGAUCUUCGCAUAUGCCUUGUUGAAUUAGUUAGAUGUGAAGAUUUACCUGUUAUAAUUAUUAAAAUUAAACAUAUAUUAAUUUAAUAUUAUUGAUAAAGUUGAUAAGAAACAGUAAUAAUUCAAAUUAAUAUUAUACAUGUUUUUCUUUUGCCUCUUACAAAAUGUCCUUCUUGUUGUCGAUUCCAUUAAGUAGCUUUUGAUGCUUGAACUGCUAUUCUAUAAGUAUGCUACUCAUGAGGGUGCAUGUCAAUCGGAUACAUAUACACAUCAUCAGCAUCUCCAUCAUCAUCAUCAUCAUCAAGGUUCUUCUCAUCCUCCUUAUCAGUUACAUGUCUAUGUCUUCCUCUCAUUAUGUCUCGCAAUUAAGCUCGAAUCUUUUCUAUAUCUGCAGUUUUCUUCUCUUUUAUCCUAUUUUUUUCCCUAGAAGUCAUCUUAUUUCUUAUUUCACUUCAAGAGGCACGUUAGGACACUUUUUUGUAUUUGAAUGAGGGUUUGUAUGCAAUAGGUGAAAUUUAAAACGAGUAAUCCCACCACUCUUCAUUGUCAAUCCACAAUAAUUGCAUAUUGUUCCAUUUUUGUUCCCUUCCAUAGGUGUACAAUAUUUCCAACAAGGAUCUCGACCCAUGAUACCGCUUCCACUUCCACUAGCCAUUUUCUAAACAUGUAUUGUAAAUUCCUAUACGAAAUAAUAUCAAAUUUAAAAUUAUUAAAGAUAAAACAUCUAUCUAUUCUAUCAUAUAAUCGUUGGAAACAUUUCGCAGUCGUUGGAUCAAGUCAAGAUUGAUUUUCCGCCAUUAGAUCACAAAUCUGGCCGUUGGAUGCCUUUAUAAAAACACGAGUGAAAUAUGGGUCAUCGGAUUGUCAAAACUUCAAAUCUGAUUGUCAGAUGAAUUUUCAAAAUUUUCAAAAAAACGCCCGAAAAAAUUGUGGAUUUUUUCCAUUUGUCCCCGCUGCUCUGCACAUCGCUCCACAAUCAAUCGUCAAUUUAUCGGUUCCAAACUGAUAUAUCACUGAUAUUUUGACGAUAUUUCCAACAUUUUCCCGAAAUUCCUCUAGUUCGAUAAUCAGUACUCAAAAUCGUUUCGAGGUCAUUCGAUAUCCGACAUAUCAGUGAAAUAUCGCUGAUAAAUCCAAAAUUUCAAUCCUUGGGUUCGUUACACUUAGGGAAUGUUCAAUGGAUGCCUAGAAAAAUCAAAAUCCAAAAAUACUAAAAAAAUUAGCAGCGGUACGAAGAAUGUGAGAAGUCCUCACAUUUUUCGUACUCUCCCCAUUCUCCACAUCUUUGAACUUUUCAAAACUUUUUGGGACUUCAUAUGGCUUGGAUAUUGUUUGGAUAGGUUCAUUACACUUAGGGAUUAUUUAAAUGAUGCCCGAAUAAAAUCAAAAUCCAAUAAUACUAAAAAAUUAGGUAGGGUAUAAAGAAUGUGAGGAAUCGUCACAUUCCUUAUACCCUUCCCAUUCUCUACUUCUUGGAACUUAAAAAAAAAAUGGGACUUCAUAUGACUUGGAUAUUGUUUAAAUAGAUUUAUUACACUUAAGAGGUAUUCAAAUAAUGCUUGGAAAAAUCAAAAAUAAAAAAAUAGAUAGGGUACGAAGAAUGUGAGAAAUCCUCACAUUCUUCGUACCAUAUCCAUUUUCCACUUCUUUGAACUUUUAAAAAAAAAUUGGGACUUUAUAUGACUUGGAUAUUUUUUGGAUAUGUUCGUUACACUUAGGGAAUGUUCAAUGGAUGUCCAAAAAAAUCAAAAUCUAAAAAUACUAAAAAAUUAGCUAGGAUACGAAGAAUGUGAGGAUUCCUCACAUUCUUCGUACCAUUCUCCAUUCUCCAUAUCUUUGAACUUUUUAAAAAAAAUUUAGGACUUCAUAUGACUUGAAUAUUGUUUAU